UUUUUUUUUUUUUUUUUUUUUUUUUUUUUUGUGAGUUCGUGUUGGAGUUUAAUUUAUAACUCGAUCCUUAAUCAGAUCCAGAGGGUCGCUGAUUUAGACAGAAAACAAUCAUUAAAUUAAUUAAUUUUAUAACGAAAUUGAAUUAAUGGGAAAUCAUUGUUAUUUAUUGUGUCUUUCACUUUUUAAAAAAAAAAUUACUUUUGGUUGUUGGUUGUUUUAUAACUUUUAUUCCUACGCCAUGACGUAAGCAAACACUAGAACUAAGCGUCGAGAUAUAAAAAGAAUAUAAUUGACGGCUGCGAUUCAACCGUCACGGUAACUGGAUUAAUUAGUUUUAAUCACUAUUUUUCAUUGCUAAUCAUACUCCAUUUGGCUAAUUACUAUCUCCCAGAAGAAGAUAAUCCUCCACAAUAAUUCCAAUUUGUAUUUACUAUUUAUUUCAAGCACGUCGUUGUCAAAAUGUUUCCUGACUUCCUUUUUUUCCCGGACGGAAAAGAAAAUUACACGUCACAUCUAUUCGGUGCAGUGCAAAAAUGGAAAACGGUUGCGUUUGGAAACCAACCAACCCCAUAUGGACAAACCAAAAGAAUCCCAUCCCUCAACCAUUUGGGAUUGAUUGUGGUCGUUUUAAGCGUUUCUGUUAUGUUUGACAGAAAAAUUUAUAGUGCUAAUGAAUUUAAGAAGUCUUUUUUUCUAAAAUAUCACCUAAUAAAUCAUAGUAAGUGGCCCAAUGAUAAGGACGCAGACUGCGACUCUUCAAUAAAUAAAAAAUUAUGAGAGGUCAGGUUCGAUGCUCCUAGUUGGUGAGUGUAAUUGACUCUAGCCACGGGUAGGAUGAAAUUUCUCAUAGUUUUUCCAGACCCUGAAUGAGUGGAUAAUCGUAACUUGUUAACUGUUGUCCUCCUUUUUAAGAAUACUGUUUCUAGAAAAAGUAAAAAUACUUUAGGGCACCGUUUGGAGAUUUAUUUGGGCCAUAUUAGAGAUUGUAUCUAGAAAAGGUAAAAAUACUUUGAGUACUAAAAACGUAUUUUAUUACGGUUGGUAGAAAAAUCUAACAAUGUUCAAUCGCUUAUGGGUCAAUGAAACAUUUUUUUUUCAAAGAAUCACUAGGAAAAGCACAUGAAGUUUGUAUAAAAAUUUCAACAUGUUUUUAAUAAAAAAUAUUUUUGCAUAACCGGGUUUAUAAUUCUUUUCUAAAAAGGGACCGGUUGGUGUCCACCUUUACAGAGUUCGAAAAAGUUCUCAAAGGAAUUUUAGCCUCUCUUUGUCCAACAUCAUGUGAUUCACUAAUGUCAGAAAUCGAACUCAAAACGUGUCGCAUAGAAUGUGCCUAAAAUUGAAAUUCAUCUCAACCACUAGGUUAGCCAAUGAGCUUAACCGGGUUUUUUUCAAAACUAAAAUAAAAUAAGGAAUUGGGUAGGUGUUAGCUGGUAACCAACUUUAAUGGUUACCAUCGUAUUACUUAAUAAAAUAAGAAAACUUUAACGAAAAACUCCCAAUAUUGUUCACUUUAACGAAAAACUACAUUUUUACACUAAAAAGUCAAUCUCCCUUUAUUUUGUCCUUAUCGUUAAAACUUCAAGGGCGCAUUUGUUUGGCCUCUUUAAGUCUCACUGGACUGGACUAAGUUAGGUAGGAGUCUUAGCCCGUGUUUGGCGCAAACAAAGACUGCCUUUAAUGAAACUAAGUCGGACUCGCACCGACUAAAAGCUUCACUAGCUGUUCUUAGCUGGUCCCCCCGAAAACUGGCAGAUUGCUAAUCCCGUCUCUAGCGCCCACGUCGUCUGCAAGCAUGCAUCCCAUAUCUCCUUCUUCCCGUGAACCCAGUUACCAAAUCAUGCCUUCCACCCUUUUCUCCAGUCACCAAAUCUGAAACGGCUUUGCCCAUUUUGUCCCGCAAACCCAACCCCCUCUUUGUUUCAGAGAUGAAUUCAUUCGGUUAAGCUUCCAAUAAGCUUAAUCCACACCCUACACAACACUACAAUUCGAAGAUUAAACCUUAUAAAUCCCAAAUAUAGAAAAUAUCAAAAUCUGCAAUAAACCUAGAAAUCUAUUACCUUGGGUUGCUGUGCACUUCUCCAGAAAUCUGUAAGCAAAAAACGAAAGACCUCCAAAAAUCCACAAUGCUCUUCUCCAGAAACCUAGAAAUCUAUUACCUUGAUUUGGGAUUUUUGUGAAAAAAAGAGAGCUAUCUCUGGUUAGAGGAACAAGAAGAAAGACUUGUUGGUCUUUGAUCCAAAUUAGGUGCAAAAUGCACAGCUUCCUCCGUUGAAGAAGAAAACAGGGAGAAAAAGGGGAGAAAAAAGAGAGAUGAGAGGGAGACGGUGUGCCGAAGAAAACGAGGGAGAAUGGUGGAAAAAUGGUGGAUGUUUCCUAAAAAAAGGAAGAGAAUCCAAAAAGAAAAAAAUAAAUUAAAAAUAAAAUAGAUAAAAUAUUAAUAGAUACAUAAAAUAUUGAUAGAUAUAAAUAUAAUAUUAUAGUUUAUUAAUUAGUCUGCUUCUUAGUCCGACACUACACCAAACACUUCACUAAGCUAGUUUAGCUUAGUCUAGUCUAAGCCAGUCUAGCUUAAUCCCUUAAGCUAGUCCAGUCCAAGACAAUUCGGUACAACAAACACCUCCCAAAUUUUCAAACAUUUUUCAUUAGUUUAUCUAUAAAAUAAAGAUACGAGUUGUGGAGCUACUUUUGCAAAUUUGGAGCCUUUCUAGUUAAGAAAUAUAUUAUUUUUGUUGCCAAAUCUGCAGAUCCAGAGUGGUGCAGGUAGAAUAUUAGCUGUGACAAUCGUAGUGGGUUAAGCCCACGGUUUCUGUUUUUUAUAUUUUAUGCCCGAAGAUUUGCUCUACUAGGGAUUAGAGAGAAGAUUCUUGCUCAAGAAAAAAAUUGACAGCUUUAAUUCCAUGUGGCUCUCAGGCUUUAUUCUCUGUCUGUGUAAAUAAUGCCCCUGAAAAAACAAAACUAUAUAAAUAAUUUCAUCCAGAAUUUUCAGACAAUUUCAAUCCCAUAAUCCUCUUGAAAGACUUUAUCAGCAACUACUAAUAAACAAAAUCGAUCUGCCCACAUUCGAAAUAUUGUAAGAGAUUUAUUGAAUACUCAUUAUGUUCUAAUAUUUCAUAAUAUAUAUGUCAUUCUAUUAUGUAAUUUUUGAUAAAAUUAUAUAAAUUUUAAAUAUAAACAGACACGUAUUUAUACGAAAUAUGAUAAAUUUUAUGAUAAAUUUUCUUAAAUUCACCUAGUCCACCUAGGCGCUAGGCGCCAUUCCGCCGUCCAACUAGCAUAUAGCGUCUGAAUGUGGUGAAUAAGUGACAUUGGUAUAUGUCUAGGCAAAAAACAGUACCAGUUUCCCGUCGGUUGAAGCAGGAAUGAUUCGUCUAUGUUUGCUAGCAGAAGAUAACUGAAGAAAACCUCCCGAAAACUUUAACAUCAUCCUUGCUUUCCGCCUUCAAGCAGUUUCCAGUUCCCUGUUCAAGUAAUCAACAAACAUCCUCUUUGCACUGUCUGCAUCAGAAGGUGGUGGUCGCCCACUUAAACUAGUAUGCCCUGUCAACUUGAUGAAAGUUCGUCGCAGCCUACGAAGUUCUGGAAGGCCAACUGAUCUUGAAAGUUCGUCGCAGCACGAGCCAAACACCACAACUCGUACCUGUAACCCUAGAUGCUAUUCAAAGAAUCUACAAUUAUAAUACUGUCUUUUGACACUGAUCUAUCGACUUCAGAUCUUAGCACUCCUCUUAAAUUCUUCUCCGCAAGCAUAUUGGCAUAGCUAUCAUUGCGAUCAAGAUGAAAGGAAGUCUCAUCAAUAACCCUAACGAUUUGAUUUGAUCCCGAUUCUCUGAGAGCGCAGCCUUUGACUUCCCGUUGCAGGGUUGUCCACAAAUCACAACCAAUGCCAUUUGCAGAAGAAUAUACCUUCGUCUAAGUGGACAAAAUAAUUCCCAACUUCUUGAAAUUCAGAAGCAACUCUCCAAUAGCUGCUGGUUCACAUACACAUUGUUAACGAUAAGCGCGAAUCAACCAAAAUCACCAUCGUUCUGUAAUCAUAUUCCAACAAACAAAGCUAUAAACCAUAUCUGAAAGGGAUAUCAUAUUCAGAUGCGAGGCGAUUUUCGUUACAAUAUUUUGUUAGGUACUCAAGCCCAAGAGGAAGAACCCAAUCUAAAAGACUAGUCGAAUAGGUGGGAGGGUCCCAAGGACUUAAGAAUCCCUGCACUUCCAUAAGUGUAGUCGAUGUGGGAUCAAGACAUUAUACCAUCCUUCAGAAGCCGGCACCUACGACGGCCCUUACUCUGGUAAUUUUCACUCUUAAUGGCAGCGCACCAUGUGGUCGUCCCGUUAAGGUAGCCAUUUCCAGAUCGCUCCCUCCGCAGCAUCAGAAACCUAAGCUUUGAUACCAAUGUUAGGAGCCCAAACCCAAAAGACUAGUAGAAUAGUUAGAGCACCCAACGAAUUAAGAACCCUACACCCCUACACUCCAUAAGUGUAGUCGAUGUGGGAUCAUACCAUAUUUCCGUUGUAGUGAAAUUACAAUUCAAUCGGCACUCUCGGAGCUGGUAACGAACACGAAAUCAGAAAAUGAGAUGAAUUAAAAAACAAAACUAUAAAUUAUCAAUUCUCAACCAGUAUUCAAACAAAGCCUCCCACUUUCCACUUUCCAGACUGAAAACCUUAAUUAACGAUUAGACCGAACAUACAAGCACUCUCUACGGAAAUUAAUACGAAAACAACAAUUAAAAACCCUACAAACUGAAGAAUCGACAAAAUUAACUCAAAUAAAACGAGAUUAAGAAGCGAUUAAUUAACAAAGCAUUAAUGCAUAAGCACAAAAAUGGAAGAAAGCGAGAAAUACGGAGCUUGAAAAGUACAUGUUCGACGAGAAGAAGAAGACGAUUUCAGAUGGAACUGGAAGGAGUCAAACGACUCAAACAAUUCGGUUUGAAAUUGGAGACAGAGAGUGAAGUCGCACGGAAACGCCAGAGGAAGAAGGGAUUCGGGAAAAGGCCAAACGACGUCGCUCCGAUGUAUUUAACAUUUCAAACAAAAUUACCCUCUUUUUGGGUCAAUUCAAACAAAUUAUUCGGUUGUGCCAUAUUUCUACGGAAAUUUUAACGAAAAGUUCACAGUACUGUUUAUUUUAACGAAAUAUCAUAUUUUUACAUUAAAAGUCAAUUCCGAUAUUAUUCACUUUAUCAUUUAUUUUGUCAUUUUCGUUAAAUCUCAAAGUUUUCAAAUCAUUUCCAUUAGUUUUUCUCAUUUUCACCAACCCAGACCCCACCCCACCCGGACCGGUGGGAAUGUGAUUCGGCGGCAGUUUAUUUUUUUGAAUUUUGAUUCGGUACAGCUGCAAGUCUCCGUUUACUCGGACACAAUAUUUGCGUGGGACGUUGGGAGAAGUAAUUGUAACAGUUCAUUUCAUCUCACGAGUCUCGUGGAAAGACGUUAUAAAAGCGAAGAAAUUCCGUUGUCUUCUCUCAAAAUCCUACCGCUAUAAAAACCCUAGACACGCAGUUUCCACCGUCCCCUCCACCACUCACAAUCUAAUUCCCCCCCUCUCUAUCUCUGGUUUUUGGCUCCGACUGGUACGAAAUCCCGGUAAGUUUUUCAUCCCCUUUUGGCUUCACAAAUUUUUUAAAUUUAAUUCUCGCACUCUCUUUCCUUGUCAAUCUAGGAGCUUUGAUUAUGUCAUGGGAUAACAUUUCACAGUACGAUAUUAUAUUUUAAAUUACUUUAGUGUACGGAUAGGAAAUUUCAAUUUGAGUCAUCUAGCAUAAAUAUUUGGUUUAAUUGCUUGUUUUGGUCUGGCUCGACUUCAUGUUUUUGAAUUUGAUGUGAGAAAACUGACAGACGGUGUGGAAACUCAAUCCAAGGAGGGAUUUUGUGUCUCAAUGGAAAGUCAUCCCACGCAAGAGAGUGUGACCGGUGUAUUUUGAUCUCAUCCGACUCCACACUGGUUCAAUUUUAGUUCUUCUAAAGAAGAUUUUCUAUCCUGUAUAGGACACCAAAUUGUUUUACUUAGCUAACUUUUCUGAGCUUGAGACCAGAAUAGGAUACAAAUUGUUUUACGUCUAAUUCAAACCAAAAUCCAUAAAUAGGGUAUUUAAAUCCAGAAAAAAAUGGGAUACUCGCGCUAGAAUUUAUUACGUAUUCCUAUUUUGAUUACCUUAGCUUCUCUAUAUAUACAUGCAUAUGUGUAUGUAUAGGUUAACAAAAACGAAGGUUUAUCCCACAACUCAGAGAGCUCAAAACUCAAACCGUGACAGAAAAUAUCAACUGCGUCAUUGUCCUUGUCUCCCUCCAUGGCAUCCUCAGCUUCCUCGCAGUCAUCUUCAGCGUCCUCGCAGUCCGCUGACAAGUACGAGGGGUUUGAUCUGUUGAAGUGUUCGACCGUCCAAGAGGGGAAGAAAGAAGCGGAGGUCAAGUUACCGUUAGGGUAUCGAUUUAAUCCCACCGAAGAUGAGAUCGUUGUGUACUUUCUGUUUAACAAGAUUAUGGACCGCGCAAUGCCUACCUACGAUCUUAUAAAAGAGGUUGAUGUGUACGGGUAUGAUCCCAAUCAGCUGCCGAAUGGUGAGUUUCCGAUUUGAUUGUUAUUUUGUACUACUAUUGAGUUCAGUCCUGUUUUAGGUUCAAAUCUGAUUGCUUAUCGUUCUGUGACUCGCAGGUGACUUCAAACACAAUGCUGGUUGCAAUGCGGCCUAUUACUUUGCCAAUAGAGAACCGUUUGAUGCUAGUGAGGGGAAGAUAAUUAAGACGGCUGCAAACGGUGGUUACUGGAAGGUGAUCGAUGACGAAUAUGAGGUUUUGUUCAAGGAUAGUGAAGUAAUCGUAGGGUUUGAAGCCGUCAUGAACUUCUACGAGGGGAAGGAGCCAAACGGGACCAAAACUCCCUUUGUCAUGAACGAAUACAGGCUCAAUCCGCAUGUGGUACCUGCUCAUGUGCUGAAUGACAGCAUUAGGAAUAAGGUACGGACUGUAAACUACGUACAAAAGUUCUUCUAGUAUGCUUUUGUUUUAGGUUGUGAAUUUUGUCCAAAAUUGUUUGGUGGGUGACAUUUUUUGUUCUCUUUGUUUCAGAUUGAGAGGUACGUGGUAUGCCGAAUUAUAAACGAGGAGGUUUCGAAUCAGCCCGUUAUCGACUAUAAAAAGGAAUCUCUGGAGCUUCUUUUGAAAUAUGCGUCUGCCGGCACUGUUAAAGACGGAGAACCAAAAUGAUAUGGCAGAAACAGCCUAGUCCUUCAUUGAAAUAGCAAAUGCAGCUCCUUUGUUUUGAUGUUUUUUCUUCUAGUGUUAUAUAGAUAUAGCAGAACAGUAUGUAUACAUUAUUUUUGGUCUAAUAUUUGACUUGACGCAAGAGAAAAGUUUCAUCGAGAAGUUUUUUAGUGUCACAACUCAUAUGUUAUUACAAAUCAACCGGUCAAGAGAGUUCAGAAUUCUAGUUAAAAUGAAUUCGUAUAAUUGCAAGAAUAGACAACCAACAGGUUUUGUGACCGAUCUGCACUCAUCAUCAUGUUAUAACACAUCGAAAGAGUUUACAAUUCUGAUUUAUAAGUAUUCAAGCAAAACAACAUCGAGAGUUCAAUGUAGCAUAAUGAAUCCGUAUAUAAUUGAAAGUCUUCAAAAUUAACAAAAUAUUGUGACCAAAUCAACAAACUACGCACGAUCUAAAAUACUCGGCGAGAACGUUCUCAUUUAGAUUAUGACCUGUAAACCCUAAACCCUAAACCCUCUUCCAUUUCUCGCUCCAGCAUCUGAUGCAUCGAGAUUUCAUCUUGGAUAUCUAACCUCAAGCCCUAUCAAGCAAGGGAUUCUUCGUCGGAUUCGUUCAAGCCCACUGAAAUGCAAAUAGGCAAAUUCCUGGAUCACCCGGUUAGAAUGUGGAGAAGAACAAAAGCUGACUCCCUGCCAUUAUCAAUGAAAAAAGGUUGCGUAAAUAACAAGACCCAGUAAUAGCACACAAUUUACCAUAUAAGUACAGUAUCAACCUGCAAAGUAUGUAUUUGCAGCAUAAGACUCAACUUUUCAAGAUAAGCAGUCGCAUAAUUUGACAUCGAACAGUACCUGCAAAGUGUGUAAUUGAUUUGAAUUAUAAACGCUCAGAACCCCUUUGCAGCGGUAUACAUCCAUGUCAUGUUUCUUCUCCCAAAGAAUCUCCUCAAUCCACAAACGAACCUUUUGAACAAGACCAUCAGAUAUAAUGACUGAUACAUAUGAUUACUAUUCAUUUUCGGGAAACUGCAGCAACGAGAAAUAAGCAUCCACUAUCUUUGAGACCACAGUUUUAGCCGCAGAAAUUGUAAAUAAUUCCUUACUGUUGCUUUUAUAUAACAGUUUAUAAAAAAACAAUUGAUGUUAGUUGCCAGAACUUCAUUGUCCAAUCAAUUUUCACAGAUGAAUAAAAUAAUCAAACUAACAACAAUGUAAUGAUGAAUGCUAACCUUUCUGAAAAGUUGGUAACACAGCACCAAAUAGUUAACAGUAUUUGAUUUCAAACAACUCAUAUCAUAACUAUUUCACAAGAACACCUUUUCAAGAUCAACCUGCCGUGGCUCGGAAAUGCAUAAAGUUCGGACACCACUAUCAUGAAGAUCACUUGUAGACAGAGCGCGACUUUCUUCCAAUAAUGAUGCUAACUGGGUAGCAUGCUGAGAAAGAAAAAGUUUUAAAUUAUUUUUUUGAGUAAAAUUUGAAUAUUAUUAGAAGACCGGUAUGAACUACAAAUAUAAGCAAACAAAAAAAUGGAGAUGCGCAUGACUCACCGUGGCAUCAUAGGCCCGACAGUCCAAUAUAUUGGACAGGUCAACUUGACCACGGACAGAACGGAUGAUACUAGCAAGUGAGUUAAUACUAUGUAUUUCCUUCUCCAGUUCCUCCAGAAAAUCCGCAGAACCCUCUGGAGAAACCAAAUCAACCUUGUUAAUAAUAAUAACAUCCUACAACAAAAGGCCAAACUCAUAAGAUAUGAAGAGCAAGCACAAUACAAUCCAGCAUAAUAAUACAAAGUUGAAACCGGGAGAGAGAGAGAGAGAGAGAGAGAGAGAGAGAGAGAGAGAGAGAGAGAGAGCACUAGAAUAGAACAGAUCAUAUGAGUAAAACUACCAGUAACGACAAACCAAGUCUGAUAAAGCUAUCCUAUUAUACAAUCGUCUUCAUUUUGCAUCCAAAAUAAGUCAUAAGGAGACCAUACUGCAAAUGCAAUCUGAAGAUAUGCUUCAGCAAAUGAAGAUGAGAUUCGAUGCUCACUGAGCUGAUAACGGAGGUUCUUGGCAUCCACGACCUGUUACAGAAAUUGAUGAAUAAACCUUUGCUACUAACAUAAUAAAUAUAAAAUCACAUAGCUUUCUGGAAAAAGAACUUAACAAGCUCAGCUAGUAUUUAAAACACAGAAAACAGUGGAACCGACAGAACCUAACUAACAUACCAUGUGCAUCUACACUUAGUACAGCUAAGUAAGCAUUUAGCAAGACAAGUUCUAAACUUCAAAUGGUGCUCCAAUACAUAAUAUUAUAACUCAAAAUCCCAUAACCAAAUUGCUAGAACUUUAAUACAACACUGGCAUGUAACGCAUCCAAUAUUAAAACUAACACAAAACUCAGCAACAAACUAGAUAAACGAAUCAGAACUCACAGUGAUACUUGAAUCAAGCUUGACAGAUGAUUCUAGAUUUUCAUCCAACUCACAGUCUUCGCAACCAGUAGUCUCCAGCAACAUACGAUCAAGUCUACAACCAAAGAAAACCAAAAACCCACGUCUCAAAUUUCAUCAUAAUCACAAUAAAAAAUAAUAAAUUUCAAUGAAACAUACAAAUUUCAAUAUAGUUUUAAAAAAACUUUCUUUUGGGAACAAGUUGCUCCAAUGCCUGCACCAAACUGUGCUUAACAGUGCAACAAAUACCUUUUGCUAACUCCACCCACUCUUCGACAAGCGCACCGCCAUCUCCUUGGUUAAUCAUCGCUCUCUCCACGCCAAUUUCCUCACCGAAAUCGUUUAGUAUCACAGCAAUUUUCUUCCCGUGUUGGGAUUUCAAUAUAUGAUUAACCAGCUGAUUAACCCAAUUCAAAAACCAACAAAAACACACUCAAAGCUCUACUCUUUUCCCGAAAAAUGGAAAAAUAUAGCAAAAAAAGAAAUGAGCUUACGGUGGAUUUUCCGGCGCCGAGGUAGCCGGUGAUGACGGUGACACAGACCAACACGUCGUCGUCUUUGUGACUAGAUGAAUUGGGUUGCUGCUGAGAGUAGGGUCCCAGGGGUUGGUCGAUUUCAAUGGCGAGAGGUGGAGCUUCUUCAUCGUCUUCCAUUUCCUUUCCAAUCCCGGGAAAUUCACAGGUUUAGGAUCCACCUUAGUUUGAACUUGAAUUAUGCUGACCCACUGGGCCCAUCGGGGUCAUGAUCUUAGUUUGGGCCUUCAUGAGUAGACGUUCUCCAUUUCUAUCUUCUAUGGGUUUUCUUGUUGGGCUUCAGCCCACCUCAAAUUUAAAAAAUUGUACAAUAAAAAGUUACUAACACUACGGUCUUAUGGUAUUCUUAUAUAAGUGUGAGAUCAAAUUCGACUUACCCUGAUAAGUUCAAUAAUACAUGGUGUAUAGUGUAGUUUAGCCUAAAUAUUCUCCGAUAUCAUUUUUUUUAAACAUUAGCCCACGUAUCAAAUAUUAAUUUGAACAAAUACUACACUUGACCUCAGCGAAAAAGCCGAGAAAGGUAUUAUAUGCCAAUAUUUUUUAAUUUUUUUAGAAAUAAGCAUACAUUUCUACAGUAUCACCAUAUGCUGAAUGUAAUUAUAAGAUUUAAAGAUUUUUUUUUUUUUUUUUGAGAAAUUCUUCUUCAAGUUGAUUUCAUUGAACCAGUCUCUCUAGGUGUAUGGGCUAAUUGGUUUAAUAAGUAAAACCAAAUAAACUCACACACAAAGCAAUAUCAUACUUUAAACUAAUCUAAAUUGGGAUGAGAUACUUGAAACCGAGUGAGAGUCCAUGUAUGCAAAAAUCAUGUAGCAUUAGAUUUACAUUAUGGUCCCUGUUUGGUUCAGAUAAUUACUUGAUGGGCGGAGUUACUCCGCCGGUCUAUGAGGAUGAGGAGGACAAUGCUUGUUCGGAAAACAAGUAGAGAGAGCGGAGAUGGUGAGGCCUUUGCAUUGGUUCAACAGUUGGGGUGGCGAACAAGAACAUUAUAAUCUAUAGAUUUGCAUAAACUUAAAGCCAAACUAAACUACUAUUUUUUUGUCACGAAAUCAUAUUGCCUUAAAUUAAAGGAAAAUUAAUGAAAAUGACUUGAAAACUUUCAGUUUUAACGUAAGAACAAAAUAAAGGGUAAAGUGAAUAGUACCAUGAUUGACUUUUUAGUGUAAAAAUAUGAUUUUUCGUUAAAGUAAAUAGUACCGGGAGCUUUUCGUUAAAGUUCCCAAAUUAAUUUACUUGCUCAUAUGGUUAAAACAAAUUGCAUUGUUUUGAAUUCAUCAUUCUGAAUUAACUUUAGACUCAUUUUGAAGUGCUUUUAAAAUUACUGAAAAUACUUUUAGAGAAAAUAUUUUCGGGUUCCAAAAACGUUUGAAGUGCUUCUUAUAAUUAGUGCUUUAAGUACUUUUCCAGAAUUAUUUGUAUUUUUACUAAUGAUUGAUUUCAAAAAUAUUUUCACUAAAAACGUCAUUUUAAAAAGUACUUUCAAAUGAGCUUUUUAAUUCCUAAUUAAGGAACACACUUGACCAAACAAUUUCCUAAUUAAGGAACAAAUUACAUGAUAGUUUCUAAUCAAAUUAUUCAAUACUUGUUUAAUUGUAAACAAACAACUAUCUUCCUUAGAUUAUAGUCCAUAUUUUAUGGAAGAGUAUUGUUUUUAUUUUUUAUUUAUAUACACAAACGAUACUGAAGGAGCAGGAAUUCGAACUCGAAACUUAAAGCAUCUUCCAAAUGUUUACAUAUAUUUCUCACCUAUUUUAUAUCCAAAUGAUGUGAGAUACAGUUUGUCAUUGGUUGGCGACGAUUAAACCCACUUUAGACCGAAAUACCAAAGGUAUCCAAUAUGCGGAGUUAAAUAUGCAUGUCAUAGCUGACUAAUGAAGAUUAAUCAAAAGCAGCCACAAUACUACAACAAUAAAAAACAAUCAAGCGUUAUCUCAUUAAGUAGGGUCGGCUGUAUAAAUUUUAGAAUUUUAUUGUACUCGGUUUUAUGCUAAGUCUUUCGUUACUUUAAAUACUCAAUAUCUUUUCUUGUAGUCUCUUUCAAAGUCUUCUUAGGUUUUUCUUUAUCCCUUUUGCCUCCGUUUCAUAGUCGCAUAUUCUAACUAAAACAUCUUCUCUCAUCUUAUUUUCAACUACGGCCACUUCUACUUUACCUCAGAUAUCUUCAUUCUUAAUUCUAUCAUUUCUUGUGUGUCCAUAUAUCUAACGAAGCAUUAUCAUUUCUGCUGCUAUACUCAUUUUUUGCACGCGUUACUUUUUAUCAACUAACAUUUUGUGCCAUAAAGCAACGAUGAUCUUAUUGUCAUCCUAUAAAAACAGACACAAUAUUAAACAUUAUAAAUCAAUGUCAUCAUAUGUAGAUGUGGCCGUAUUCGGUUAGGUAAAUGCCAUAAAAGGGUAGAACAAGUUUCCAACAUUUCCAUGGGCACACAUGCUUUAACCGUAAAGAAAUUGCAUCUUGCUGUGAAUAAAACAGGUUAGUCAGUUUAUCGUAUGUCACGCAAACAAUAUGCCAAUUUUGUUUGCUUGUUCAGUUAAAAACUUAAAAAAAAAGGACCUACCAUCAGUACACCCUUCAUAUUUUGGUAUGUAGUGACAUAAGAGCAGCUCUAGCGGGAGCGACUACGUGAGGGACAGGCUGCGGAACAGGGCCUGAUUGUCCGAGGGAAGAAGUCUAGCGUUGGCUGGCGAGCGAGCCCGAGCAGGCCCGAGCUCCAAGCCCGUGGAUUCGUGCUGGCCCGAGCGCCUGAAGGCUGUCUGACGUGGGCUGACGUCAGACGCCUACUGAGUGAAUCGGAGGGCCACUUGACGACUGUACAACUUCCUGAACAUCGUCGUCGUCGGCGUCCUCCUCCUCUUCAUCUAUGCUGUCGUCGGAUUAGGACUCGGACUCGGACUCGAACUGCGACUCGUACAGCUCCAAUUGCUCGGCGGUCAAAGGCUUAACUUCGUUUUCCUCCACAACUUCCUUCAUAGCCUUCAUCCUUUCAAAGCUCACACAAAUUUGUAUAAAUAAAUAAAAUAUUUUAUAAAUAAAAUUAUUUUAUAAAUAGAAUUAGGAUUGGAUUUGGGAAAGUGAAUGAGAUGGAGGGAGGGAGGGAUGGGAGAGGAGCUGCCAAUUGGGAUUGGAUUACAAAUAAAAUUAUUUUAUAAAUAAAUAAAAUACUAAUAUUUUAUUGUCAAUUGCCAAGGCUAUUCAAGUGCAACGGUGGAGAUCCAAAAGACGAUUACUGUUCAUUAAAGGCAUUACUGUUCACUAGGUGGAUUAAAUAGUGAAUAGUCUGGGGGGAGGGCUCCUAUGCUGGAAGUGCUCUAACAGUGACAAAAAAUUAAGGUUUUUAAGUUAAAAUAGUCUUUAAAAUUGACAUAAACUUUUCACUUUGGUCAUUCAGAUUUGAAAUCGAUAAAAGUGGUCCAUGAGUUUGUUCACCAUCAAUCAUUUUAAUUAUUCUGUAAAAAGUCUCCAUUAAAUAAGGAUAAGAUAAAAAUACCCUCACUUUUUGCCAAAUUAUUUUGGACCAUUAUUUAUUAAAUUAAGGGUAUUUUUGUCAUUUUAGCUCUUGUUUAACAAAAUUUUCAUAGAAUUACCAAAUGAUUGAUGGUGGCAAACUUAAAGAUCAUUCCUAUUAAUUUCAACUCUCAAGAACCAAAAUAAGGAGGUGUAUAACAAUCUCAAUGAUCAUUUUAGCUAAAAGCCAAAAAUUAAUUAUUAAUUCUUUUUGAAUAUGACUAGUUAUGUUAUUAUAUCGUAAUAAUGUUAGAUAAAACACAUUUUUUAUUACAUUACAUUUGAAUGUGGUAAAUCAGUAACUGACAGGACAUAUGUACAUCACUUGUGACACCGUGUGUGAAAAACACAUGGCAUGUGCAGACAUAAUUGGUGUUUUUUGCAGAUAGCACUUCACGUAUUUUUAAAACCCAGAAACAUUUUUUCAAAAAACGAUUUCAAUCGUCACUUAGUACUACGGUUUAGUAGUAUUCUUCUUCACUUUUAAGUGAUAGGUCUAAGGUUACAUUUUUGCCAAAGGCAAAUUUAAACCACAUUAUUGAUAGCUCAUUGUGAGGCUAAUCCCAUCUCAUCCCCCUUAGUAUAGAAUAAAGGGAAAUUUGGAAAACUAACCAAAUUUUGGACCCUAAAUAGAAUUCUAGCCACUUUUUUAAAUUUAUGAUAAUUAUAACAAAAAAUUGAUAUGAAAGUACUAAUACACCCUUCAAAUAAAGUUUUCUCAAAAAAACAAAAAAAAAUAAAAAAUUGUCAUCCAUGGAAAUUAAACAAAGCAAGAUUCAAUUAAGAUAAGGAGAUUCGAAGUAGAAUUGAAUAAGUUCAAAGCCACAUGUGCUCCUUGAAGUUCCUUAGACAACCCAAAACCCCAAUUCAAUCAUAGAAGAAAACAAAAUCCCAAGUUCAACCUUAGGAGAAAAUGAGAGAAAGAGAUAGGGACCAUCGCAUUUUGGGCUUUUCACCAACGAUUUGGUUCUGGAGCCGAUCUUAGAAGUGGAGGUCCCAAUUGAAGGGCUGAGAUGUUGAGGAAGAGUAGCAGAGAAAUUGGAGAGCAGAGCAGGAAGCUGACCGAGACUGAGAGUGAGAGUUGUCUUCAUGUGGAGGAAGUCGAAAUUUUUUUGGGAGUUUGGAACAAAAUGAAGGUUGUGUGUGAGAGUAUAAAAGAGGAAGAAAGAGGGAUCGUGCUGCACGCCAUGGCUGGCUAUGCUUGGGUUGGGAUGUGAUGGGUUGGGUUUCUAUGGUUUUGGAUUAUCGUCUAUACUGUAGAAAGGACAAAGAUGGUGGUAAAAGACAGCCGAGCCUUUUGUUUUUUGUUUUGUUUUUUAGGAAACUUUAUUUUAAGGGUGUAUUAGUAUUUUCAUAUCAACUUGUGGUUAUAAUUAUUAAAAAUUUAAAAUGGUGGUUAGAAUUCUAUUUAGGGUCCGAAAUUUGGUUAUUUUUCCAAAUUCCCUAAUCUAUAGAUAAUAUCAUUUAUUAAAAAAAAAAAAGCUUUCAAUCAUUGUCAAAACAUUUCGUACAUUUCCAGGAAUGCCAAGCGUGACCAUAAAACACACUAUAUUCCAAAAACAAAGGGCUGUAAAACAAUCCACUACAGUCCAGGAUGACUGAUAAAAGCAAAGGCAAUGUAAAAUGAAUCAAUUUGCAAUUUGAAAUAAUCCUCAUGGACUGGAUACACAAAUACAUUUAUGAUAUGAAUAUACAUACACAUAUAUAUUAUAUAUAUGCACCUCUCUCUCUCUCUCUCUCUCUCUCCCUCUCUCUCUCUCCCUCCCGCCGGUAGCGCGCCGCCACUUUUGGUGGUGACCAGACCACCACCCACUGCACUACGUUUUUUAAUGCCUUAUCGAACUCAACCACCCAUUUUUUACGUUAUCUGUCUCUCACUGCAAAUAUACUCACCACUAUAAAUACUCUUCCCUUAUUCCCUCACGCAUUUCUACAAAUUCCUCCCCCGUAGUUUUCGUUAAUCUCUCUCUAAUUAAGCAGGGAUUAGAAGCUAAUCUCUUUCUUAAUAUCUCCGCCGCCGUUGAGAAGUGAUGGGGUCGGAAAGAGGAGGCCUAGCUUUAGUCGUCACAGCAUUUCUAUUGGCUGUUGGGUUUCCAACAUGUUUGUCGGAUUCAGAUAUCAACAGGGGUAGCUUUCCCAAAGGUUUUGUUUUCGGAACUGCGUCUUCUGCUUUCCAGGUUCGUUUUUUCAACUGACUCUUUUACCCUUUUGAUUAACCUGGUGGUUAAAGAUCACUAAUUACUCAUUAUUCUCGUGAUUAUAAUUUUCUGUUUUUUAGUGUUUGGGUUCCAGCAGUCAGUGAUUAAUUUCUGGGAUUUGCAUUUGCAUCAUAUACUCUGAGUUUUGAUGUUUUUCUCGCUCCGUUCCUCUUAAAACUUAACUAGUAACUGGAAGCUAGGUGCGACACUGCGAAUGCAGAUAGCUCACUUGAUUAAAAGUAUUCACGCCCACUUGCAUUUGAGCGCCCGAGCACUUAAGAUUCCGAGUUUGACUCAUCGUUGCAAAUAAUGCAUGUUUGAAACAAAAUUGUAGUUGUAGUUUUUGCAAGUCAAUGUAUCUGCAGAUUCACAGUAAUCACGUGAAGAUAGAAUGUCAUGGUGAUGUAAUUGCUGGAGCAUAGGGGCUUUUCCGGUUUUUCAAUUUUAUUGCUAAAUAAAUCCACUUAAAAGUAGGAUGAAUUUUUUUGCCAAAUUACCAUACCAAAGUUAUACUAGAAAAUUUGUACCAUUGGUAAUGGUACAAUAUUUGUGCCGUACCAUAUAUUUUUGGUACACUAAUGGUAAACCAUUACAAGUGGUAUAUCGUACAGUACCGUACCAUUACUAUUAAUAUUAUAUUAUUUGUUUAUAUAUAAUUAGGUAUUAUUAUCAUUAUAUAUGCACUUAUAUUUUUUUCCUAAUCAUUUAUCCAAUCAUCUUACCCUCUAACAUCUACUCUCCCAAAUUCUCAAUAAAAAAACCUAAGCUUUCUUGCGCUACAACUCUUCGUCUUUUCACUCAUCUAGCCACCGACUUCAUUUAUGUUGCUCCAGUUCCAGCAACUCUCUCUCUCUCCGGAGUCCAUCUCAUCUUCUCCUUCAUCAAAUUGGGAUGUCUUUCUCUUUGACUUUGUCUAUCAAGUUAAUUUUUGUACAAUUUUAAAGAAUGUAGAAAUGAAAUUUAAGAAUCUUUGUACUAUUUUUUAGAGAUAUUGAGUUAUUUCAGCAAUUCUUCCAUCUAUUUACUUCUUGUUUCUCAAAUAAAUCUCUAUAAAAUUCUCAUAAUUAAAUAAAAAAGUUAAAAAAAAAACCCAAAGGGAGUGGCCAAAACACAUUUGUGCCUUGAAUUGGAUUGGAAAAAAAAAAAAUCAAAUUUUGGCCCAAAAUGAUGGCCCAAAACAAAGUGGUACCAUAUCAACCAAACUAUUUGACAUGCCAAAAUUCGGUAUACCGAAAAUUUGGUAUGGUAAUGAUAAUAGAUUUUGUCAUACCAAAAGUUUGGUAUGGUGAUUGGUACAUAGGUUUUGGUAUAGUAAUUGUACCAAUACCACCCCUACUUAAAAGGCAAAAAGUACUUCAGCUCACAUCAAAAUGACGGUUGAGGGCCGGAGUCCACAAAGUCAUGCAAUCGAGAAAACAGGGUCAUUAUCGGAAUUCCAGUUCAUUUUCGGGAGUUUUUCAAUUUUUGGCCUCAAAAAGGACCACUACCUAUUACGAGGUAGAGAGUAGCUUGACUGGCUCUUAACAUUGAAGAAGAGUUCCUCCUUAGUUUAGCUAGUGUUGGAUUUUUAAAAGGGAAACUUUGGAUGCGGUCCCUAAUUAUGAAUAUUCUUUGACUAAAACCUUAUUGGUUUUCAAUUUUUGAUCAAAAUCCCUGAAAUUAAUGUGAUAAUUUAUUUCUAUGUACGUUACUAUAUUUUUUAAAUUAAAAUUUUAUAUUUAUAUUUGUUUAUAUUAAUGAGAUUUUAAAUAAAAAAACCAUAAUUUGUGGGAUUAAAAAUAUUAAAAUAUAAAUAUACUAUUGUGUGUGUGUGUAUAUAAAUAUGGGUACAUUCAUCAAAAUUAACCAAAAAAUUAUUGUAUCAAAAUAUGAGUACAUUCUUCAAAAUAAAAAAAAAAAAGAAAGAAAGAGAUAUUAGGCUUAAUAAUAUUAGUAAUUUUUUUCGAUUAAACUUAACAUGGAUACAUUCUCAAAUCAAAGAAAAAAGAAUGUACCCAUAUAUGUUUAAAAAUGGAUUAGAAAAAAAUUGAAUAGAUUUUAUAUAUAUAAAAGUGGUACAUUUUACAUAUAACAAAUUGGUAUAUUUAAAAAUGAGUACAUUUUAAGAUUAAAAAUUUGAAAAAAAAUUACAUGAAUGGGUACAUAUAAUUAGCAUGGGUACAUUUAGCAAAAAUAAAAAUGGGUACAAAUAAAUAAAAAAAUAUGGGUACAAAUACAAAUAAAACUUUUAAAAAUAUGGGCACAAAAAGAAAUUAAUAUAUGGGUACAAAUUAAAACUAAAAAGAAAAUUGGUACAAAUUAAAAAUGGGUACAAACUAAAAAUAAAAAUAUAUGAUAAAAAUAUACUAAUGAUAACAUUUUUAACAUUAAAUGAAUAUAUUUAGAAAUAAAAAAUAUUUUAUUAUUGAAAUAAUUAAUGAUGUUAUUAAUACCAAGGACCUUGAUCAAAAAUUGAAAAAGAAUAAGGUUUUAAUCAAUGGAGUAGCAAAAGUAAGGAUGGAACCUAAUUUCUCAUUUUUAAAAUGUUGUGCUUAUAAUCAAAACUGUUUAUAUUAUAAAUAAUUUUUUAUGGAUUUUUUUAAGGAAAAAAAUGAAAUUUAAAGUCAUUCAAUCAAUCAAUGACAGUAAAUAAAUAAAUAUUUUAUAAUGAUUUUAUCAAAUUUGUCCAUUUAUUUGUGCAUAAGUAAUUUAUAAUAUUAAUGAUUCUGAUUACAAUUUCGUAAUUCCGUGACAAAGUAAAUUGAGAAAGAACUUUUCUUCUUCAGAACCUUUCUUCAACGAGCCAAGUUAAUUCCUUCACGACAUUUGCAAACCAGCCUUCUGAUGUUUAUAAAUUUUCAUUUAUAUAGGGACCACGAAAACAUUCAGAAUUUGUCUUUCAUCAACCAGAUAUUGUUUUAUUUCGUAAUUUAUUUAAAAUUGUAUUAAUAUCAAUUGUACUUUUGAUAUGAUACACAAUUAUUUGAGGAAUAUGGUUAUAAAAAAACAAGUUAUUUACAUGUUUUACCUUCUGAUUUUUGUCAGUACGAAGGUGCAGUUAAAGAGGACGGAAGGGGGCCUUCUAUCUGGGACACCUUUUCACAUACUUUUGGUAAUAAUUUGUUAAUUUAUGGUCAAUCUUUUGUUUUACUUCUAAAUUAUUUUUUACCAGUACUUUGGAACAUUUAUCAACUACACAGUAUCUCACUCAUCACAUGAUCAUUAAAUAAGAAGGAAGACACUCGUAUAUAUAUUUCAUGUGACACUCAAAUCGUCCAUGUUUUAGGAAGCAAUUCAAAAUAUAUAACACUUAAUGCAUACGGAUAAUUUGCCUUGUGCUACAGGUAAAAUAGCCGAUUCCAGUAAUGCAGAUGUUGCUGUAGAUGAGUAUCACCGUUAUAAGGCAAGUCUGGUACUCAAAACUACCCUUUGCAUUUUCUUUGUUAAAUCGAGCAAAUGUUAAGUUAGUUGCAAGCAGGAGGAUGUGCAACGUAUGAAGGAUAUGGGAAUGGAUGCUUACAGAUUUUCGAUAUCCUGGACUCGGAUUUUCCCCAGUAAGUUCUAUUAGUUCUAUGAGUUCAUAUUUACUUCACAUACAAGAUUAGUUCAUCAAAUUUUAACUGCGAGCUUUUCGUAUAUCAGAUGGAACCGGACACAUUAAUCAGGCGGGUGUUGAUUACUACAAUCGUCUCAUCGAUGCAUUGCUAGCCAAAGGUGCCAUACAUUUUCAUUUUUCUCCAGAAUAUUGUAUGUACUUCCGACUUUUGCAUUAAGCUCCGUCACAAUUGUUAAUGGCAACGGAGAAAUUUGGCAUCGAACGUUUAUUUAUCAGGAUGGAAUCAUGGACUGAACUAUGAGAUUCUGUAUAUGCAGGAAUUGAACCGUAUGUGACCCUCUAUCACUGGGACCUCCCUCAAGCAUUGGAAGACAAAUACAGCGGGUGGCUCAACCCUCAAGUCAUGUAAUCUCAACGUUGACAGUUUUGUGCCUAUAAUUUCCGUAAGUUUGAUUAACGAUGAGUUUUGGAUUCGAGUGAUUCAUAUGGCCUUAGUCUAUUGCAGAAAGGACUUUGCAACAUAUGCGGACGCAUGCUUUCAAAAUUUUGGUGACAGGGUGAAGCACUGGAUCACAUUCAACGAGCCACAUACAUUUUCUAUACAAGGAUAUGAUGUAGGGCUCGAGGCACCGGGAAGGUGCUCUAUCCCCCUUUUCCUUUUCUGCAGGGCAGGAAACUCGGCAACUGAGCCUUACAUGGUUGCUCACAAUGUCAUCCUGUCUCAUGGAACCGCGGCUGAUAUUUACCGGAGAAAGUACAAGGUAAGAAUGAUGGAAUGGAGAAAUAUUCAUGCGCGUAACUAUUAACAACAGAAGUUGAUUAAUGAUACUACUUGGUGUCUUCGCAGUCAAAACAGCGUGGAUCGGUUGGGGCAUCAUUUGAUGUUAUCUGGUAUGAAUCAGCAACAAACUCGACAGCAGACGUCAUUGCAACUAAAAUAGCCCAAGAUUUUCAGCUUGGCUGGUAAUCACAAAUUUGAUUUUAUUACUUAGUUAUAUUUGACUAGGAACUGCGUUAUAAUUUGUGUAAUCACUAUGUUGGAACGGCAGGUUUCUUGAUCCAUUUAUGUUUGGGGAUUAUCCAAGCUCUAUGAGAAGUAGGGUUGGAAGUCGGCUGCCAACCUUUUCCAAAUCCGAGUCUGCUCUAAUUAAAGGGUCCUUGGAUUUUGUGGGCAUUAAUCACUACACUACCUUCUAUGGAAGCAACGAUACCGCUGAUAUAAUUGGACAUCUACUCAAUGACAGCCUUGCAGACUCUGGUGCCAUUACUCUUCGUAAGUACUCACAUUGAACGCGCUGCAUAUUCCUCUUAACAGUUCUAUGUUCCAGUUAUUCCAUAAGUUGUCGGUCGAAUCACCAAUUCAGAGAUUAAAGACCAACUUAUUAGAGUUCCGUAACUUGUUAUCAUUUAAAUUUCCGUUGUUAGCUGAAGAUAUCUUUUCUUUUUCCAUGUUUUCAGCAUUCAAAGACGGAAAACCUAUUGGCGAUAGGGUAUGUAGUGUAGUUAAACUCUCAUAAAUUACUGCAAUUUUUACUUGAUCCGACAUGAAAGCUUGUGUGAAAUUGCAGGCGAAUUCUAUAUGGUUAUACAUAGUGCCAGAGGGGAUGAGAAAAUUAAUGAACUACAUUAAGAAAAAGUACGGCAAUCCUCUAGUGAUUAUCACUGAAAAUGGUAAUGUUUCGAGUUCCAAAUAGAAGGGAUGCGACGUCCAAAAGUUCUUCAUGUUCACGGGACAUUUCAUGAGUUAAACUUGUUGGUUUCAUUAUUUCCACAGGCAUGGAUGACCCGAAUAGCCCAUUCAUUUCUCUCAAGGAUGCUCUAAAGGAUACUAAAAGGAUUAAAUACCACCAUGACUAUCUUAAGAAUUUGCUAGCUUCGAUCAAGUAUUAACCAUCUUUAAUUAAUCCGCUAGCUAUGAAUCUACUUUUUCUUGUCCAUAUUUUGUGGUGUAAAAGCUGAUAUCAUUCUGUCUUCGUUGAAUGCAGAGAAGACGGCUGCAAUGUGAAAGGCUAUUUUGCUUGGUCUCUGCUGGAUAAUUGGGAAUGGGCGGCUGGAUACACUUCUCGAUUUGGUCUCUAUUUUGUGGAUUAUAAGGACAAGCUCAAGAGAUACCCAAAGGACUCCGUUCAAUGGUUCACGAAAUUCUUGAAUUCUACUCAAACAAGGCAAUGAUCAUCUGACGUUGUGAAUCUGAAGUCCUGCACUUGCACCCCAACUCAUCGAGUACACGAGGGUUGUUGCAGUUCAUUUUUCUUUGGGAUCGAGCAAGCCAUCAUAACAGUGUUCAGAUCAUAGUUUGUGGGCAGACGUUUGGAACAAAAAUAGCUUAUGAUUCUAUGAAAAGAAAAAUAUGAUUUGAAAUCACUAGCUUUUGAUUUAUUUUUGCAAUCAAUAUAUUGUUACACCAGUAAUGCUAUUCUUACCAUAUUUCCUUAUGUGGUAUCUGAUGUGGACAAUCACAUCAUUUAAAUUAAUCAGAAUUUAAUUUAAAUUAAAAAACAUUUAAUAAACCAAUAAUUAAAAAAAAAAAAGCUGGAAUUAAAUGGUGAUUGUGGCAAACGAGGAGGCUUCUCCAUCAUUCCCCGUUCAAUCCUGCUUCUUCUCCCACGCCAGUUCUUUCACGGCAGCCAGUUGAAGAUUGUUACAGACCUAAAGUGGGAGAACAUGUGCACACAUCACAUCGGCAUCAUAGGAUGGCAAAAAUGUGGGAGAACAUGUGCACACAUCACGGCAGCCAGUUGAAGAUUGUUACAGACCUAAAGUCCCUAGACAUUGCCCAUACUCCGAUGGAAACAACCAAGCACCACCAUGACCGCACUGUCCAGCUUUGGAAUGUUCUCCAAGAAUGGCAUCCUCACUUUGAAAAGCUCAUGAUUCAUCAAAAACAAUACAUCCAAGCUCUUAAUAGUUGGUUGAAGCUAAAUCUCAUACCUAUCGAGAGCAGCUUAAAACAGAAAAUCUCAUCCCCGCCAAGAGUUCAGCGUCCACCAAUCCAAGCUCUCCUCCAUUCAUGGCACGAUUCUCUUGAAAAGCUUUCUGAUGAACUCGCAAAAUGUGCAAUAUCGUCCUUUGCGGCUGUGAUAAAGACCAUCAUACUGUUGGAAAAUUAGUUAUUAGUUUAUGGUUUUCUUUUGGGAUACUAUUGGAAAAUUAGUUAUUAGUUUAUGGUUUUCUUUUGGGACAAGGAUGUUAGAAUUUUCUAUAUCCUUUAAGGGUUAGGAUUUAGGGUUUAUUAGAGUUUUCUAUAUCCUUUAAGGAUUAGGAUUGUGCUUUAGUUUCUAUAUCCUUUAAGGAUUAGGGUUUGCUUUAGUUUUCACUAUAUAUAAUAAUGCUUGUAUUAGUUAGUUUUAACAAGUCAGUCACGAUGUAGUCUCUUGGGAUUAUGUAGCCAUUUUGGCAUUCAAUUUGUUUAAUAAUGUUCUUAUUAUUUUGUAAUCUUGUUUGUUGCGCACUCUGAUAUUUCAUCAGGAGGAAGGGGGAAUGAGAAGCUCACCAGAGACACUGUAUCCAGGUAAGGGAUAAGUCACUUGGGAGUCUCAAAACUCGCCUGCCUGAGAUCUUCCGUACCAUGACAGACUACGCUAAUGCGUGUUCCAUUACUUCAUCUGCUUCCAUCCAUGGCGAGGAGGCUAAAAACAAAAUGCCGUGAAAGAACUAGCGUGGAACAAGAAACGGGUGAAGCAGGCAAAGGGAAAGAAGGAGAAGACUCUCGUAUGUCACAAUCACCAUUUAAUUCCGGUUUUUUUAAUUAUUGGUUUAUUAAAUGGUUUUUAAUUUAAAUUAAAUUCUGAUUAAUUUAAAUGAUGUGGUUGUUCACAUCAGCUGCAACAUAAGAUGGUAUAUAGAGGCAAGCAAACUCAGGAAUGAGUGUUCGAUUCCUUUCUCUUGGGAGUCAAGCAACUCAUUUGGUAAUCAAACUGGCGCUGAAGGCAAUCAAACUCAGAUUCGGAUUAUAUUUGGUUGAUUACAAAGACAAUCUCAAGAGAUACCCUAAGGAGUCUGCUCUAUGGUUCAAGAACUUCUUGGCUUCUUCUACUUGAACAAGGAGGUGAUGAACUGAUGCUCCUUACGUUCUGCGAAAUUCUGCAUAUAAAUUACACCAGAAGGAUUCAUCAAAUGCACACAAGGGUUGUUUUGAUUCAUGUUCUUGUCGCGUCGAGGAAGCGAUCAUAAUCCAAUGUUCAAGCUAUCAAAACUGUUUGCGCUCCAACACUUGACCCCAAUUGACAGUCAACUAGUACCUUAGGUCCUUAGAUUGAGAAAGACUUGUCAAGAGUUUUUGAUCACGUAAUUCGUUGGACACUUCUCACAAAAGUAUAAAAACACUUGUAUCUUUAUCCCACCUAACUCUAUGUUAGAGUUGUCUUAAAUUAUAAGCCAAAAGUAAACCAUUAGACUUGGUUUUAGGUCCUUCAAUAGAAAAACUUGUGUAGAAUCUCCGAUCUUUCUAGGGCACUUCUCACAAAAGCAUAAAAUUAAUUGUAUUUUAUUUUGGUCCUGCACUCAACUCUAUCUUAGUUCCACUUAUAAGUUAUCCUAAUCAACCAGUCAUACCUAAGUUUAAACAUAGGUCAAUUAUGUUCUGCAUAAUCUUCGUGUUGACCAGGAAUAACUUAUAGUUCUCCCCCUCCAUGAUAAGGAUUGCGUAGCCAAAAUCUAACCCAUUGAAUAUGCCAAUUGGCCUAACCAUGAACAAGGGCGGCAAAAUAUGACACGUCCAUCGCUUCGAUCCUAGUUAAGUUGAUUUCACUAGUACUAUUCUAUUGUCAUUCUUCCAACCAAUCACGGUUUAAUAUAUUUCAUUUGCAUGGAAGAGGAUCCUCUCUCUGGAUUCACUUUGUGGGGAUCCUAUCCUAGCCGUUCAUUGUAUAUUGUACGGUCAGUUUUUGUCAGGUACUAUUUGUGUUUAGAUUUAAAUAAAAAAAAGUCAAAUAAUUUUUUACUACACAAUACACAAUGAAUAGUUCAGAUGUGAGGAUUUUUAGGAUUCCGAUGGAAUCCAAAUCCCAUUCGCAUGUACAUGUCAAAUUGUGCUGAAAAUAAUAAUAACGAGUCUUCCAACGUGAACUAGACCACAAAAACGGGAACUGAUGAGCCAAUUGGAUGGAUAGUGUGUUCAGGAGCCGAUUUAGAAUUUGGACCUUGGAAGGUUCCAAUGUUAAAUGUAAAAAUUUCUAGAUAAAAAGAGAACACGAAAUGCAAACUUUUUUUUCUUCAGUUUAUUCACUGAAGCAUUUCUUAGAAUACUUGGUGGGCUUGUUGUCGUCAGCCAAACUAUAUUGCGUUAAUGUCAACAACCGAAACAAAUUUGAUGAGCGAGAUCAAAAGAAUUUGUCGAGAAUUCUCAACACACACUUGAUGGGAACAAAAAAGACCCGUACUAACUAACCAUCAGAAGGUCCUCGAAAAAUAUUCAUAUGUAUAUUUCCGAAACUCCGAGUGAUCUUUAACCACCUUAGUCCCAAACGUAUAUCCGUCCUUGAGUGUGUUCAUCUUCUUGCACUCGAGUUCGAGAAUACUGCGUUGCCGAAAAAUGAUAUUAACAAUUGGGCUGUAUUAAUGUACUUAACGCGCAGCCUGCGAUGGUAUUGUUCGGCCUGGAAAAUGAUUACCCGCCUAAUUCAAUUGAAACCCAUAAAUGGAGGACUAGUUGUUGGCGUAGUAAUUACCCCAAAAUUCCAACAAACAAACUUAAAACACAGUGUGUUUGGGAAUCCUACUCGUAUGACCAAACCGACACCGAAAGGAGUGGACCUAAUUAUUUUACAACAAUUCCUCCUCCUCCUCCUCGUCUCUGUCACUCUCUCAGAAAUUAACACCAAAUGUCCUUCACGUCUAACAUUAAAAAUACCCUCCAAUUAAUUUUCUCCCAUAAAUAUUUGAUGGUUUUUAUUUGGUGUAAUAAAUAUUUGAUAUUUCUUUUAAUAAAUUAAUAUUGGUGAAAAUGCAACAGCACGUUUUAUAUAAAUAAAUUAAUUAUUCAUUAAUAAUUUUCCUUCCUAUUCGGAUCUGUACCUACCAGCGAGGGUGAGGACAUGUUGUUUGCAUCGUACUCCAUUAUUUUCUUCUUUUGGUCCUAACUGUUCCAAUGAUUUAAUCAUAUAUAAACGCUUCACUUUCUCUUUUUUUCAUACUUAUUUUUAUAGGUUUAAUAUUUAAUGAAAUUUGACAUUUUAUUUUUGGACUUUUUUAUACAAUGUAUAUUAUGGCUCUAUGUUUUUUUUUGGGAGGAAAAAGAAAGGACCUGUAUCAAAACAACAUGUCGAGAUGUGCUUAAAAUGCAUUCCAUCAAAUAUUUAGUAGGUACAAAAAUGACUUGUACCAAAUAUUCGGAGGGUCUCGCAAGACCUUCACAUAUAUAUACUUGGAUGGUUCUGGGACCACCUUGGUCUCUACUUCCAUCCACCCCUGGUUAUGUGUCUGUUUAAGGUUAUAGGUCUUUAUUUGGACCCCAAGACUGUAAUGUGUUUUGCAUGCACGAUACAAAACUAGCAUGAAAUCCAAUGGUCUUCAGAAUAGUAAAAUAAAAAAUAAAUAAAAAAGCAGAAAAUAACAUUCCAAUGAUAAGUAGUAGUAAAUAAAAUGACAUGGGCCUUACUUUAUUUGAAAUUGCAACGAGAUUAUUUUAAAUUUUUUGUUUAUAUAGAUGACGAGCUUGAUUUUUAAUUAAUUAUUAUUACUAAUAAAUUGUCCGAUUUAGUCCAAAUCACAUAAGUUGACAAUUACUUAUACAUUUUUAAUACAAUUGGAUCCAAAUACAAUAACAAAACAUGUAUGGUAAAAAAGGAAUUGACAAAUCAGCUAAUUUUUUAUGUAUUCAAAUAAUUCCAUUGACGAAAGAAAUAAUAUUUCAUCAAGGUGAUGUUAUCGUAAUUCUAAAUCAAUCAUGUAAACGAGAAAUUUUUCCACAUAUAAGUGUAAUAAAAUAAGUAAAGUUACACAAAAAAUAUAUCGUUAUUUUCACUUAUAUUAUGACAUGAUACGUGAAGUAACGCUUUAAUAUCCGAUGCUUGAAACAUCUCCUCACGAAGACAAACAAGGGGAAACGGUCUGGGGAAGACUGGGUUGACUUUUAACGAUGGGAACUUUCUUUUUACUGCGUGAUAUUUGUUUUUUUUUUUUUGGGUUGGGAAAAUGAAAGGUGAAACGAAAACGUGUUGGGCUUCAGCCCACCUCAAAUUUAAAAAAUUAUACAAUAAAAAGUUACUGACACUAUGCUCUUAUGGUACUCUUAUACAAGUAUGAGGUCAAAUUCAACUGACCCUUAUAAGUUCGAUAAUACAUGGCGUAUUGUUUAGUUUAACCUAAAUAUUCUCCGAUAUCAUUUUUAAACAUUAGCACAUGUAUCCAAUAUUAAUUUGAACAAAUACUACACUUGACAUAAGCCAAAAAGCCGAGAAAGGUAUUAUAUGCCAGUAUUUUUUCUUUUUUUUUUAGAAAUAAGCAUACAUUUCUACAGUAUCACCAUAUGCUGACUAUAAUUAUAAGAUUUAAAGCUUUUUUAUUUUUAUUUUUGAGAAAUUCUUCUUCAAGUUGAUUUCAUUGAAGCAAUCUCUCUAGGUGUAUGGACUAAUUGGUUUAAUGAGUAAAACCAAAUAAACUCACGCACAAAGCAGUAUCAUACUUUAAACUAAUCUAAUUGGGAUGAGAUAUUUGAAACCGAGUGAGAGUCCAUGUAUGCGAAAAUGAUGUAGCAUUAGAUUUACAUUAUGGUCCCUGUUUGGUUCAGAUAAUUACAUGAUGGGCGGAGUUACUCCGCCGGACUAUGAGGAUGAGGAGGACAAUGCUUGUUCGGAAAACAAGUAGAGAGAGUGGAGAUGGUGAGGUAUUUGCAUUGGUUCAACAGUUGGGGUGGCGAACAAGAACAUUAUAGUCUAUAGAUUUGCAUAAACUUAAAGCCAAACUAAACUACUAUUUUUGGUCACGAAAUCAUAUUGCCUUGAAUUAGGAAAACUAAUGAAAAUGGCUUGAAACCUUUGAGUUUUAACAAUAAGGACAAAAUAAAUGAUAAAGUGAAUAGUACCAGAAUUGACUUUUUAAUGUAAAAAUGUGGUUUUUCAUUAAAGUGAAUAAUACCGGGAACUUUUCGUUAAAGUUCCCUUAAAUUAAUUUACUUGCUCUUAUGGUUAAAAUAGAUUGCAUUGUUUCGAAGUUCGAAUCACUUUUGGAUGCAUGAAUUCAUCAUUAUGAAUUAACUUUAGACUCAUUUUGAAGUGCUUUUAAAAUUACUGAAAAUAGUUUUAGAGAAAAUAUUUUUGGGUUCCAAAAACGUUUGAAGUGCUUCUUAUAAUUAGUGUUUUAAGUACUUUCCAAAAAUUUAUUUGUAUUUUUACUAAUGAUUGGUUUCAAAAAUAUUUUCACUAAAAACAUCAUUUUAAAAGCACUUUCAAACGAGCUCAUUAAUUCCUAAUUAAGGAACACACUUGACCAAAUAAUUUCCUAAUUAAGGAACAAAUUACAUGAUAGUUUCUAAUUAAAUUAUUCAAUACUUGUUUAAUUGUAAACAAACAACUAUCUUCCUUAGAUUAUAGUCCAUAUUUUAUGGAAGAGUAUUGUUUGAUUUUUUUUUUACAUACAUAAACGAUACUGAGGGAGCAGGAAUUCGAACUCAAAACUUAAAGCAUAUUCCAAUUGUUUACAUAUAUUUCUCACCUAUUUUAUAUCCAAAUGAUGUGAGGUACAGUUUAUCAUUGGUUGGCGACGGCUAAACCCAUUUUAGACCGAAAUACCAAAGGUAUCCAAUGUUAGAAGUAUAAGAUUGUAAGGCUGUGAUGAUGCCACAUGUAAACAGAGCUGGUCUAUUAUAUUUGUUAGAAGAGUCGGUUGGUUAUGACUAUAAAUACUUAAUCUUGUAAUAGCUUUCUUAUUAAGCAAGGUAUCAAUUCAAUCAUUUUUUCCCUCCAAUUUCUAUGUCUACAGUUCGCUUUCUCUCUCUCUCUACAUUCAUAGAAACUGAGAUACUUGGUUAACAUCCGAUAUGCGGAGUUAAAUAUGUAUGUCAUAGCUGGCUAAUGAAGAUUAAUCAAAAGCAGCCAUAAUACUACAACAACAAAAAACAAUCAAGCGUUAUGUCAUUAAAUAGGGUCGGUUUUAUAAAUCUUAGAACUUUAUUGUACUCGGUUUUGCGCAAAGUCUUCCGUUCUCUCCAAGUAAUUCAUAUAUUUUCUUAUAGUCUCUUUCAAAGUCUUAUUAGGUUUUCCUCUACCCCUUUUGCCUUGAGCUUCCGUCUCAUAGUUGCAUCUUAUAACUAAAUCAUCUUAACCGAUUUUCUCUCAUUUUAUUUUCAACUGCGGACACUUUUACUUUUCCUCUGAUGUCUUCAUUCUUAAUUCUAUCAUUUUUCACGUGUACACAUAUCCAACGAACCAUUAUCAUUUCUACUACACUCAUUUUUGCACAUGUUACUUUUUAACCAACUAACAUUUCAUACCAUAAAAACAACAAUGAUCUUAUUAUUGUCCUAUAAAAACGGUCACAACAUUAAACAUUAUAAAUCAAUGUCAUCAUAUGUCGGUGUAUAUGGGUUAGGUAAAGGCCAUAAAAGGGUUCCAUGGGCACACAUGCUUUAACCGUAAAGAAAUUACAUCUUGCCGUGAAUAAAACUGGUUGGUCAGUUUAUCGUAUGUCAGGCAAACAAUAUACCAAAUUUGUUUGCUUGUUCAGUUAAAAACUUAAAAAAUGGACUUACCAUCAGUACACCCAUCAUAUUUUGGUAUGGAGUGAGAUAAAGGUGACAAAAAAUUAAGGUUUUUAAGUCAAAAUAGUUUUUAAAAUUGAUAUAAACUCUUCAUUUUAGUUACUGAGAUUUGAAAUCAAUAAAAGUGGUUCAUGAGUUUGUCCAUCAUUAAUCUUUUUAUCAUUCCAUGAAAAAUCUCCAUUAAAUAAGGAUAAGACAAAAAUACCCUCAUCUUUUGCCAAAUUAUUUUGGACCAUUGUUUAUUAGUAUUUUUGUCAUUUUAGCCCUUAUUUAACAAAAUUUUCAUAAAAUGACCAAAUGAUUGAUGGUGGCAAACUCAAAUAUCAUUCCUAUUAAUUUCAAAUUUCAAGAACCAAAAUGAGGAAGUAUAUAACAAUCUCAUGAUCAUUUUAGUUAAAAGUAAAAAAUUAAUUAUUAAUUUUGCACCAUACUUACUGAAUAAGACCAAUUAUGUUAUUAUUUAUAUCGUAAUAAUGUUAGAUAGAACACAAUUUAUAUUACAUUACAUUUGAAUAUAGUAUAUCAGUAACUGAUAUAGGAUAUAUGUACAUCACUUGUGACAGUGUGUGUGAAAAACACAUAGCAUGUGUAGACAUAACUGAUGUUUUUUGCAUAUAGCACUUCAUGUGUUUUAAAAAACUAGAAACAUUUUCUCUAAAAACUUUUUCGAUCGCCACUUAGUACUACAGUCUAGUAGUAUUUUUUUUCACUUGUAAGUGAUAAGUCUAAUAUUUGAUUCUUUUCAAAUGCAAAUUUAAACCACAUUAUUGUUAGUUCAUUGUGAGGUUAAGUCCAUCUCAUCUCUCUAGUAUAGAUAAUAUUGUUUGUUCAAAAAAAUAAAAAUAAAAUAACGGUCUCAAUCAUUUUAAAAACAUUUCAUACAUUUCCUACGAGGAAUGCCAAGCCUGACUAUAAAGCACAAUAUAUUCCAAAAACAAAGGAAAGGCUGUAAAACAAUCCACUACAGUCCAGGAUGAUUGAUAAAAGCAAGGGCAAUGCAAAAUGAAUCAAUUUGCAAUUUGAAAUCUGAAUCCUCAUGGACUGGAUACACGAAUACAUUUAUGAUAUGAAUACACACACACACUCACAUAUAUACACAUAUAUAUAUGCACCCACCAUGCUUAUCAUUCUGGUAUGAAAACUUGUGAACUCAGGACUUUGGUUUUUCAUUCCCCCACUGUCCAUUAACACCACGCCUCUCUCUCUCUCUCCCUCCCUCCCUCAGGUUAGCGCGCUCCACUUUUGGUGGUGACCAGACCACCACCCACUGCACUACGUUUUUUAAUGCCUUAUCGAACUCAACCACCCAUUUUUUACGUUAUCUGUCUCUCACUGCAAAUAUACUCACCACUAUAAAUACUCUUCCCUUAUUCCCUCACGCAUUUCUACAAAUUCCUCCCCUGUAGUUUUCGUUAAUCUCUCUCUAAUUAAGCAGGGAUUAGAAGCUAAUCUCUUCUUAAUAUCUCCGCUUCCGCCGUUGAGAAGUGAUGGGGUCGGAAAGAGGAGGCCUAGCUUUGGUCGUCACAGCAUUUCUAUUGGCUGUUGGGUUUCCAAAAUGUUUGUCGGAUUCAGAUAUCAACAGGGGUAGCUUUCCCAAAGGUUUUGUCUUCGGAACUGCGUCUUCUGCUUUCCAGGUUCGUCUUUUUCAACCGACUCUUUUACCCUUUUGAUUAACCUGGUGGUUAAGGUCACUAAUUACUCAUUAUUCUGGUGAUUAUAAUUUUCUGUUUUUUAGUGUUUGGGUUCCAGCAAUCAGUGAAUAAUUUCUGGGAUUUGCAUUUGCAUCAUAUACUCUGAGUUUUGAUGUUUUUCUCGCUCCGUUCCACGUAAAACCUAACUAGUAAUUGUAAGCUAGGUGCAACACUGCGAGUGCAAUAGCUCACUUGAUUAAAAGUAUUCGCGCCCACUCGCAUUUGAGAGCCCGAGCACUUGAGGUUCCGAGUUUGACUCAUCGUUACAAAUAUUGCAUGUUUGAAACAAAAUUGUAGUUGUAGUUUUUGCAAGGUCAUUGCAUCUGCAGAUUCGCAGUAAUCACGUGAAGAUAGAAUGCCAUGGUGAUGUAACUGCUGGAGCAUGGGGCUUUUCCGGUUUUUCAAUUUUAUUGCUAAAUAAACCCACUUAAAAGGCAAAAAGUACUUCAGCUCACGUAUUGAAAUGACGGUUGAGGGCCGGGAGUCCACAAAGUCAUGCAAUCGAGAAAGGAGGGUCAUUACCGGAAUUCCAGUUCAUUUUCGGGGGUUUUCCGGUUUUUGGCCUCAAAAAAGGACCACUACCUAUAACGAUAGAGGUAGAGAGGAGCUUGGCUGGCUCUUAACGUUGAAGAAGAGUUCCUCCUCAAUUUAGCUAGUGUUCGAUUUAUAAAAUAUUAUGCUUAUAGAACUUUCUGUAUUAUAAAUCAUCUUUUGUGGAUUCUCCAAAAAAAAAAAAAAAUUAAAGUCAUUCAAUCAAUCAAUGAUAGUAAAUAGAUAAACAGUUCAUAAUGAUUUUAUUAAAUUUUUCCAUUUGUUUGUGUUUAAAUCAUUUAUAAUAUUAAUGAUUCUGAUUACAAUUACUUAAAUCAAUGACAAAGUAAAUUGAAAAAGAACUUUUCUUCAACAAGCCAAGUUAAUUCCUUUCAUGAUAUUUGCAAACCAGCCUUUGAUUAUAAAUUUUCAUAUAUAUAGGGACCACGAAGACAUUCAGAAUUUGUCUUUCAUCAACCAGAUAUUGUUUUAUUUCAUAAGUUAUUUAAAUUUUAUUAGUACUUUUUAUACGAUACACAAUUAUUUGAGGAAUAUGGUUAUAAAAAAACAAGUUAUUUACAUUUUUUACCUUCUGAUUUUUGUCAGUACGAAGGUGCAGUUAAAGUGGACGGAAGGGGGCCUUCUAUCUGGGACACCUUUUCACAUACUUUUGGUAAUAAUUUGUUAAUUUAUAGUCAAUCUUUUGUUUUACUUCUAAAUUAUUUUUUGCCGUACUUUGGAACAUUUACCAACUUCAAAGUGUCUCACUCAUCACAUAAUCAUUAAAUAAAAAGGGAGACGCUCGUAUAUAUAUUCCAUGUGACACUCAAAUCGUCCAUGUUUUAGGGAGCAAUUCAUAAAUAUAUAACACCUAAUGCAUGCGGAUCAUUUGCCUUGUGCUGCAGGUAAAAUAGCCGAUUCCAGUAAUGCAGAUGUUGCUGUGGAUGAGUAUCACCAUUAUAAGGCAAGUCUAGUACUCAAAACUACCCUUUGCAUUUUCUUUGUUAAAUUGAGCAAAUGUUAGCUUAGUUGCAAGCAGGAGGAUGUGCAACGUAUGAAGGACAUAGGAAUGGAUGCUUACAGAUUUUCAAUAUCCUGGACUCGGAUUUUUCCCAGUAAGCUCUAUCAGUUCUAUGAGUUCAUAUUUACUUCACAUACAAGAUUAGUUCAUCAAAUUUUAACUGCGAGUUUUUCGUAUAUUAGAUGGAACCGGGCCUAUUAAUCAGGCGGGUGUUGAUUACUACAAUCGUCUCAUCGAUGCAUUGCUAGCCAAAGGUGCCAUAAAUUUUCAUUUUUCUCCAGAAUUUUGUAUGUACUUCCGACUUUGCAUUAAGCUCCGUCACACUUGUUAAUGGCAACGGAGAAAUUUGAGCAUCGAGCGUUUAUUUAUCAGGAUGGAAUCAUGGACUGAACUAUGAGAUUAUGUGCAGGAAUUGAACCAUAUGUGACCCUCUAUCACUGGGACCUCCCUCAAGCAUUGGAAGACAAAUACAGCGGGUGGCUCAACCCUCAAGUCAUGUAAUCUCAACGUUGACAGUUUUAUGCCUAUAAUUUCCGUAAGUUUGAUUAACGAUGAGUUUUGGAUUCAAGUGUUUCAUAUGGCCUUAGUCUAUUGCAGAAAGGACUUUGCAACAUACGCGGACGCAUGUUUUCAAAAUUUUGGUGACAGGGUGAAGCACUGGAUCACAUUCAACGAGCCACAUACAUUUUCUAUACAAGGAUAUGAUGUAGGGCUCGAGGCACCGGGAAGGUGCUCUAUCCCCCCUUUACUUUUCUGCAGGGCAGGAAACUCAGCAACUGAGCCUUACACAGUUGCUCACAAUGUCAUCCUGUCUCAUGGAACUGCGGCUGAUAUUUACCGGAGAAAGUAUAAGGUAAGAAUGAUGGAAUGGAGAAAUAUUCAUGCACGUAACUAUUAACAACAGAAGUUAUUAAUGAUACUACUUGGUGUCUUUGCAGUCAAAACAGCGUGGAUCGGUUGGGGCAUCAUUUGAUGUUAUCUGGUAUGAAUCAGCAACAAACUCGACAGCAGACGUCGUUGCAACUAAAAUAGCCCAAGAUUUUCAGCUUGGCUGGUAAUCACAAAUUUGAUUUUAUUACUUAGUUAUAUUUGACUAGGAACUGCGUUAUAAUUUGUGUAAUCACUAUGUUGGAACGGCAGGUUUCUUGAUCCAUUUAUGUUUGGGGAUUAUCCAAGCUCUAUGAGAAGUAGGGUUGGAAGUCGGCUGCCAACCUUUUCCAAAUCCGAGUCUGCUCUAAUUAAAGGGUCCUUGGAUUUUGUGGGCAUUAAUCACUACACUACCUUCUAUGGAAGCAACGAUACCGCUGAUAUAAUUGGACAUCUACUCAAUGACAGCCUUGCAGACUCUGGUGCCAUUACUCUUCGUAAGUACUCACAUUGAACGCGCUGCAUAUUCCUCUUAACAGUUCUAUGUUCCAGUUAUUCCAUAAGUUGUCGGAAUCACCAAUUCAGAGAUUAAAGACCAACUUAUUAGAGUUCCGUAACUUGUUAUCAUUUAAAUUUCCGUUGUUAGCUGAAGAUAUCUUUUCUUUUUCCAUGUUUUCAGCAUUCAAAGACGGAAAACCUAUUGGCGAUAGGGUAUGUAGUGUAGUUAAACUCUCAUAAAUUACUGCAAUUUUUACUUGAUCCGACAUGAAAGCUUGUGUGAAAUUGCAGGCGAAUUCUAUAUGGUUAUACAUAGUGCCAGAGGGGAUGAGAAAAUUAAUGAACUACAUUAAGAAAAAGUACGGCAAUCCUCUAGUGAUUAUCACUGAAAAUGGUAAUGUUUCGAGUUCCAAAUAGAAGGGAUGCGACGUCCAAAAGUUCUUCAUGUUCACGGGACAUUUCAUGAGUUAAACUUGUUGGUUUCAUUAUUUCCACAGGCAUGGAUGACCCGAAUAGCCCAUUCAUUUCUCUCAAGGAUGCUCUAAAGGAUACUAAAAGGAUUAAAUACCACCAUGACUAUCUUAAGAAUUUGCUAGCUUCGAUCAAGUAUUAACCAUCUUUAAUUAAUCCGCUAGCUAUGAAUCUACUUUUUCUUGUCCAUAUUUUGUGGUGUAAAAGCUGAUAUCAUUCUGUCUUCGUUGAAUGCAGAGAAGACGGCUGCAAUGUGAAAGGCUAUUUUGCUUGGUCUCUGCUGGAUAAUUGGGAAUGGGCGGCUGGAUACACUUCUCGAUUGGUCUCUAUUUUGUGGAUUAUAAGGACAAGCUCAAGAGAUACCCAAAGGACUCCGUUCAAUGGUUCACGAAUUUCUUGAAUUCUACUCAAACAAGGCCAAUGAUCAUCUGAUGUUGUGAAUCUGAAGUCCUGCACUUGCACCCCAGCACAUCGAGUACACGAGGGUUGUUGCAGUUCAUGUUUCUUUGCGAUCGAGCAAACCAUCAUAAACAGUGUUCAGAUGAUAGUUUGUGGACAGACGUUUGGAGCAAAAAUAGCUUAUGAUUCUAUGAAAAGAAAAAUAUGAUUUGAAAUCACUAGCUUUUGAUUUAUUUUUGCAAUCAAUAUAUUGUUACACCAGUAAUGUUAUUCUUAUCAUGUUUUUAUACCACCUUAUGUGGCAUCUGAUGUGGACAACCACAUCAUUUAAAUUAAUCAGAAUUUAAUUUAAAUUAAAAAACAUUUAAUAAACCAAUAAUUAAGAAGAAAAAAAGUUGAAAUUAAAUGAUGAUUGUGGCAUACGAGGAGGCUUCUCCUUCCUUCCCGUUCAAUCCUACUUCUUCUCCCGUUUCUUCUCCCACGCCAGUCCUUUCACGGCAGUCAGUUGAAGAUUGUUACAGACCUAAAGUGGGAGAACAUGUGCACACAUCACAUCUGCAUCAUAGGAUGGCAACAAUGUCCGCGAACAUGUGCACACAUCACGGCAGCCAGUUGAAGAUUGUUACAGACCUAAAGUCCCUAGACAUUGCCCAUACUCCGAUGGAAACACCAAGCACCACCAUGACCGCACUGUCCAGCUUUGGAAUGUUCUCCAAGAAUGGCAUUCUCACUUUGUAAAGCUCAUGACUCAUAAAAAACUAUACAUCCAAGCUCUUAAUAGUUGGUUGAAGCUAAAUCUCAUACCUAUCUAGGGCUGCUUAAAAGAGAAAAUCUCAUCCCCGCCAAGAGUUCAGCGUCCACCAAUCCAAGCUCUCCUCCAUUCAUGGCACGAUUCUCUUGAAAAGCUUCCUGAUGAACUCGCAAAAUCUGCAAUAUCGUCCUUUGCGGCUGUGAUAAAGACCAUCAUACUUCAUCAGGAGAAGAGGGAAUGCGAAGCUCACCAGAGCCACUGUAUCCAGGUGAGGGAGGAGAAGUCACUUGGGAGUUUCAAAACUCGCCUGCCUGAGACCUUCCGCGCCAUGACAGACUAUGCUAAUGCCUGUUCCAUUGCUUCGUCUGCUUCCAUCAAUGGCGAGGCGGCUGAAAAAAAAUGCCGUGAAAGAACUGGCAUGGAAGAAGAAACAGGAGAAGAAAGCAAGGGGAGGGAAGGAGAAGACUCCUCAUAUGCCACAAUCACCAUUUAAUUCCAGUGGUUUUUUUAAUUAUUGGUUUAUUAAAUGGUUUUUAAUUUAAAUUAAAUUUUGAUUAAUUUAAAUGAUGUAAUUGUCCACAUUAGAUACCAAAUAAGAUGGUAUAUAAAGGCAAGCAAACUUAGGAAUGAGUGUUCCAUUCCAUUCUCUUGGGAGUCAAGCAACUCAUUCGGUAAUCAAACUGGCGCUGAAGGCAAUCAAACUCAGGAUUUUUUAAUUUCAAAAAUUGAUCAUUCGAUUACAAAGACAAUCUCAAGAGAUACCCUAAGGAUUCUGCUCUAUGGUUCAAGCUUCUAGGCUUCUUCUACUUGAACAAGGUGGUGAUGAACUGAUGCUCCUUACGGUCCGCGAAAUUCUGCAUUUAAAUUGCACCAGAAGGAUUCACCAAAUGCACACAAGGGUUGUUUUGAUUCAUGUUCUUAUCGCGUCGAGGAAGCGAUCAUAAUCCAAUGUUCAAGCUAUCAAAACUGUUUGCUCUCCAACACUUGACCCCAAUUGACAGUCAGCUAGUACCGUAGGUCCUUAGAUUGAGAAAGACUUGUCAAGAGUUUCCGAUCAUGUCAUUCGUCGGACACCUCUCACAAAAGCAUAAAAACACUUGUAUCUUUAUCCCACCUAACUCUAUGUUAGAGUUGGUCUUAAAUUAUAGGCCAUAACUAAACCGUUAGAGUUGGUUUUAGGUCCUUUGGUAGAAAAACUUGUGUAGAAUCUCCGACCUUUCUAGGGCACUUAUCACAAAAAUAUAGAACUAAUUGUAUUUUGAUCCCACACUCUAGUCUAUCUCAGUUCCACCUGUCCUAAUCAACCAGUCCUACCAAAGUUUAAAUAUGGGUCAAUGUUUGCAUAAUCUUUGUGUUGACCAGGGAGAACUUAUAGUUUCAAAUCCUCCUCCAUGAUAAGGAUUGCGUAGCCAAAAUCUAACCCAUUGAAUAUGCCAAUUGGCCUAACCAUGAACAAGGGCGGCAAAAUAUGACACGUCCGUCGCUUCGAUCCUAGUUAAGUUGAUUUCACUAGUACCAUUGUCAUUCUUCCAACCAAUCACGGUCUAAUAUAUUUCAUUCGCAUACAAGAGGAUUCUCUCUGGAUCCAUUUUGUGGAGAUCCCCCAUAUUUUAGCUGUUUAUCGUACAUUGUGCGGCUAGUUUUCAUUAAGUAUUAUUUAUGUUUAAGUUUAAAUAAAAAAAAUCAAAUGAUUUGUGAUCACAUAAUGCACGAUGAAUGGUUAAAAUAUGAGGAUCCCUAGAAUCCUCAUAAUUUGGAUCCGAUGAAUUCCAAAUCCCAUUCGCAUGUACAUGUUAAAUUGUGCCGAUAAAAAAAUAACAAGUCAUGCAACGUGAACUAGACCACAAAAACGGGAACUAAGCCAAUUGGAUGGAUAACGUGUUCAGGGGCCGAUUUAGAAUUCGGACUUUGGAGGGUCCUAAUGUCAAAUGUUCAAAUUUCUAGAUAAAAAGAGAACACAGAAUGCAAAUUUUUUGUCAGUCAAACUAUAUUACGUUAAUGUCAACAAAUAUUAACAUAUGCCGAAACAAAUUUGAUGAGUGAGAUCGAAAAAAUUUGUCGAGUAUUCUCGACCCACACUUGAUGGGAACAAAAAAGACCCGUACUAACAUUUGGAAGGUCCUCAAAAAAUAUUCACAUGUAUAUUUCUGAAACUCCAAGUAAUCUUGAACCACAUUAGUCCACCUUAGUCCCAAAGGUAUAUCCGUCAUUGAGUGUGUUCAUCUUCUUGCACUCGAGUUUGAGAAUACUACGUUGCCAAAAAAUGAUAUUAACAAUUGGACUGUAUUAAUGUCCUUAACGCGCAGCCUGCGAUGGUAUUGUUUGGCCUGGAAAAUGAUUAGCUGCCUAAUUCAAUUGAAACCCAUAAAUGGAGGACUAGUUGUUGGCUUAGUAAUUACUCCAAAAUUCCAACAAACAAAACUUAAAACACAGUGUGUUUGGGAAUCGUAGUCAUAUGACCAAACCGACACCGAAAGGAGUGGACCUAAUUAUUUUACAACAAUUCCUCCUCCUCCUCCUCCUCCUCGUCUCUGUCACUCUCUCAGAAAUUAACACCAAAUAUCCUUCACGUCUAACAUUAAAAAUACCCUCCAAUUAAUAUUCUCACAUAAAUAUUUCAUAGUUUUUAUUUGGUGUAAUAAAUAUUUGAUAUUUCUUUUCAUAAUUUAAUAUUGGUGAAAGUGCAACAGCACAUUUUAUAUAAAUUAAUUAAUUAUUCAUUCAUAAUUUUCCUUCCUAUUCGGAUCUGUACCUACCAGUGAGGGUGAGGACAUGUUGUUUGCAUUAUGUAUGCCUUGCCUUGCAUCGUACUCCAUCAUUUUCUUCUUUUGGUCCUACUAAAUGAUUUAAUCAUAUAUAAACGCUUCACUUUCUCUUCUUUUUUUUUUUAUACUUAUUUUUAUAGGUUAAUAUUUAAUGAAAUUUGACAUUUUAUUUUUGGACUUUUUUAUGGAUCUAUGUUUUUUUUUUAGGGGAAAAAUAAAGGACUUGUACCAAAACAACAUGUCGAGAUAUACUUAACAUACAUUCCAUCAAAUAUUCAACAGCCACAAAAAUGAUUCGUACCAAAUAUUCGGAGGAUCCCACAAGACCUUCACAUAUAUAUUUUUUGAACUUGGGUGGUUCUGGGACCACCCAAGUCUCUACUUCCAUCCGCACCUGGUUAUGUGUCUGUUUAAGAUUAUAGGUCUUUAUUUGGACCCCAAGACUGUAAUGUGUUUUGCAUGCAUGAUACAAAACUGGCAUGAAAUCCAAUGGUCUUCAUAAUAGUAAAAUAAAAAAGCAGAAAAUAACAUUCCAAUGAUAAGUAGUAGUAAAUAAAACGACAUGUGCCUUACUUUAGUUGAAAUUGCAACGAGAUUAUUUAAAAUUUUUUGUUUACAUAGAUGACGAGCUUAACUAUUAAUUAAGGGGAAUCUUGAUAUAACUCCAAUUUUUUGAACCAAUAGUAGGAAUGGUCCAAUUUAUUAAAAUAAGUCCAAUUCUUUAAAUUUAAUUAAUUUAUUAUCAAUAAUUAUCUCUUAAAAGAAAAAACUUAUUGUAAAAAUCAAAUUUCUUCCUAAUUAUCUCUUUGAUUAUCUCUUUUUAUAUAUAUUUUUUGUUAUUUCUUGUUCUUCCUACUAUUUUAACCCAUUUAUAGAUUUUUUUUUAAUUUUUAUAAUCAACCUAUAUCACAGGUUAAUUGUAUUUAUCUACCUAUAUGACAUAUUCUUUUUCAUAGUCAACCUGUCACAGAUUAAUAUGCCUUGCUUGUAUGUAUAUUAUGUUUUUUCUACCUUUUAGUUAGGUUUCAUAUCUCACUUAUAGGUAAUAUACAUUCAUAUAUUUUGCUACUUGAGUUAGGGUAGAAUAUUUUGCAAAUAGAUUUAUGUUAGUAUAUUAAUUUUUUUUUUUGUUUAUAAGAUAUUAAUUAGAUAUUUUGGAGUUGAAAAAUGCAUAAUAUUAAAAGAUUUUAAUUGAUUUUUAAUAUUUUUAGAAAAUAUAAAAGGAGUAUAAAAGAAAUAAAAACAUAUAAUUAGAUAACUGGAAUCAUUCCUAAAAACACUAUAUGUUUUUGGACCUGGAUCUAAAAGUCCCUUUAAUUAAUUAUUAUUACUAAUAAAUUGUCCAAUUUAGUCCAAAUCACAUAAGUUGACAAUUACUUAUACAUUUUUAAUAAAAUUGGAUCCAAAUACAAUAACAAAACAUGUAUGUUAAAAAAGGAAUCGACAAAUCAGAUAAUUUUGUAUGUAUUAAAAUAAUUUCAUUGACGAAAGAAAUAAUAUUUCAUCAAGGUGACGUUAUCGUAAUUCUAUAUCAAUCAUGUAAACAAAAUUAUUUUCCACAUGUAAGUGUAAUAAAAUAAGUAAAGUUCUACAAAAAAAUAUAUCGUUACGUCUACUUAUAUUAUGACAUAAUAUGUGUUGAAUAUCCGAUGCUUGAAACAUCUCUUCACGAAGACAAACAAGGGAAAAAGGUAUGGGGAAGACUAGGAUGACUUUCGACGGUGAGAACUUUCUUUUUACUGCGUGAUAUUUGUUUUGUUUGGGUUGGGAAAAUGAAAGGUGAAACGAAAACGUGUUGAAUGGACGUGGAUCGGGCGGGGCGCUGGGUACACACCACCACUGCUGUUUCCGGGUCACGCAGAUCUCGGUUGUUGGAUCUUAAAAAUUCCUCACCGCGCUGUGAGCGUAUAUAUAUACCCCUCAGAUCCCCUACAUUGUCGGCCAUCAGAAGAAGAAGAAAAACAGAGCUCCCUCCCUUUUUUUUAUCUCUGUCGUCUCUCUUCCUCUUCUUCCGCAUUAGAUCUCUCUCACUUUUUCUCUCCGCCGUCGACCUCCCGCCUCACAUUGAUUGAGGUAAUACUCCUGUGCUUUGCUCGUUUGGUAUCUCAUCAAGCUCAGUGGGUUUGCUCAUUUGGGUUGUCUUUUUUGUGUUUUUGGGUAUUUUGGAUAUUGUUUUGCGUAAUUCGAUUUGGGUUUUGUGUAUUGAGGUGUUUGAUUCGGGAAAGAUUGCUCAUUUACUUGUGUUGCUGUUUGGGUGUGGUGGAAUGUGUAGAUCUUUGUAGUUUCUCACUGAUUGCUGUAGAUCUGAUUGGGAUCGAUUUUUAAUUGGGAAUUUGGAUCUUAUAGUUUGGGAUUUGUUUGUGUGGGUUGCAGAAGUGGGAUUGUGUAUCUGAAAAUUGAAGAAAUUGUCCUCCUUCUCGAUAAAUUUCUUUCAUUUGCUCUUAAAACUGUGGAUCUGCAAAUCGUAAUGCGUUUUUUGUCUAGUAAACUUGUAGAUCUUGCAUUUACCUACCUCACACUUAGCUACAGUGCUCUGUUUUAGGUUCAUGAAUCAGUAUUAUACUUUGAAAUCGAUAAAGUUUUGAGCCCAUGCUGUGAUAUGGUUGUCGGUAGGAGAGACGUUGAUUCAUUAGUUUUGUUUAAAUCUGCUAGAUAAGUCGGCCCUUGUUUUCAUGGUUAAACUUUUUGGGAACUUUAACGAAAAAAUUUUGGUACCGUUCAUUUUAACUAAAAACUAUAUUUUUACACUAAAAUAUCAACCUGAUACUAUUCACUUUACCCUUUAUUUUGUUCUUAUCGUUAAAACUCAAAGUUUUCAAGUUAUUUUCAUUAGUUUUUCUAGUCUUCUUCGAAACUUUUUUGUUUUUGCUUCACCAUGGAUGACCAAUUUUUCUCCUAGAUUUGCAUAUCAUACUGCAUUCUCAAUGGAAUAUAUGAAGUUCGAUUAGUAAUAAAGCUUGUUCGUCAUCAUUCUAUAUAUUGGUGUAUUUGUGCCUUUGUUCUUAAUUCAUUUAUGUUUAGGCAAGUUGUUGUAAAUGUUUUCGUUAUGUUAAGAACAGUUAAAGGUCGGUCAGAAGCAUUUAGUCCUUCAAAUCUAUAAUAAUUAUAUAACAGCACAAAGAUCUAGUAUUUCAGUGCUUGAAAAUACUGUACCUUAUCUCAUUGUUUUGAUCUGCUCGUCUUUAGGCCAUCAUUAGCAGAACAAGAUGGUGAAGAUCUGCUGCAUUGGAGCUGGAUAUGUUGGUGGGCCUACUAUGGCUGUGAUUGCCCUUAAGUGCCCAGAUAUUGAAGUAGCUGUUGUUGACAUUUCUGUGUCAAGGAUCAAUGCCUGGAACAGUGAUACUCUCCCCAUAUAUGAGCCAGGCCUUGAUGAUGUGGUGAAGCAGCGCAGAGAAAAGAACCUCUUCUUCAGCACUGAUGUUGAAAAACAUGUUAUGGAGGCAGACAUUGUCUUUGUUUCUGUCAACACGCCCACCAAAACCCAGGGUCUUGGAGCUGGUAAAGCAGCUGAUCUUACCUACUGGGAGAGUGCUGCUCGUAUGAUUGCAGAUGUUUCGAAGUCUGACAAAAUUGUGGUUGAGAAAUCAACGGUCCCAGUUAAAACAGCUGAGGCCAUCGAAAAGAUUCUGACCCACAACAGCAAAGGCAUCAACUUCCAAAUUCUUUCAAAUCCUGAGUUCCUUGCUGAGGGAACUGCAAUCGAGGACCUUUUUAAGCCAGACCGUGUCCUCAUUGGAGGACGGGAAACCCCAGCGGGUCAGAAGGCAAUUCAAGCACUCAAGUCAGUCUAUGCCCAUUGGGUCCCUGAAGAAAGAAUCAUCUGCUCUAACUUGUGGUCUGCUGAGCUUUCAAAGCUUGCUGCCAACGCCUUCUUGGCACAGAGGAUAUCUUCUGUUAAUGCCAUAUCUGCACUCUGUGAGGCAACUGGUGCAAAUGUCCAAGAAGUGGCACAUGCUGUUGGCAAGGACACAAGAAUUGGGCCCAAGUUUUUUAAAUGCCAGUGUUGGUUUUGGCGGGUCUUGCUUCCAGAAGGAUAUCUUGAACUUGGUAUAUAUCUGCGAGUGUAAUGGCCUUCCCGAGGUAGCAAAUUACUGGAAACAAGUCAUUAAGAUCAAUGACUACCAGAAGUCUCGGUUUGUGAACCGUGUGGUUUCCUCAAUGUUCAACACAGUCUCGGGUAAGAAGAUUGCAAUUCUGGGAUUUGCCUUCAAGAAGGACACUGGUGACACCAGGGAGACCCCAGCCAUUGAUGUGUGCAAAGGGCUGUUGGGUGACAAGGCCCGGUUGAGCAUCUAUGACCCUCAGGUGAGUGAGGAUCAAAUCCAGAGGGAUCUUUCUAUGAAGAAGUUUGAUUGGGACCAUCCCAUUCAUCUUCAACCUCAGAGCCCCCCUGCUGUGAAGCAAGUUGGUGUAGCCUGGGAUGCUUAUGCGGCAACAAAGGAUGCUCACGGAAUCUGCAUCCUGACCGAGUGGGAUGAGUUCAAGAGUCUUGAUUACCAACAGAUUUAUGAUCAGAUGCAGAAGCCUGCAUUUGUGUUCGAUGGAAGGAACGUGGUGGAUGCUGAGAAGCUGAGGCAAAUUGGGUUCAUUGUUUACUCGAUUGGAAAGCCCCUGGACGAGUGGCUCAAGGACAUGCCCGCUGUGGCGUAAAGACUUGAUGAUGAGGAGAGAAGCACAGUAAUUUGAAGAUCGAUCCCCUUGUGCGUAAAAGUUCUAUCAGUUCCGAAGUUUGUUACUGAGAGUGGAUGCUUAAUUCGUCCUUAUUUUUAUCUUCUUGUAUUAAUUUGUUAUUUCACCUUUCUUAAAGUUGGGGGUUAUGUUGCGUCAUAUUUUACUUGUAAUAGUACCCUUAAUACGGUUCCUGAGUUUGUCCUCAGUUUAGUGGAAUAUAUCUCAAUUUGUUAUUCUCUUAGAUUAAUGUAAUAAAAUCAGAAACCAGGAAAUUAUAAUUCUUUUGGUCUUCCUUUUUUGUUAUGUUGCAAAGUAGGGUCGUUUACAAUUGGAGAAAAACACGUGUGCUCUGUCACCAUGACAUCUCGUGCGAAACAGACAACGCUACGUGUGUAUUUGAUUAGAAGAAAAAGGCUCGAACCGAAUGAAAGAUUACUAGCUCACAAGAAAGGGUUGCAACAAUAGAGAGACCUUACUUGUUCUGAAAAGACAGAUGAGCUCACAGCAACCAACACAAAUGGCUCCCAAAUGAAUGCUAGAGUAGCGUUGCCUCACAUUUGGAAUCAUAUUAAAGCUUUUUAGCCAAAAUGGUCUCUGAGAUUUGUAUAACACAUCACUUUAGUCAUUCCGUUAAAAAUUCCGUUAAGUGUCCCUGAGCUCUUAGCUGGAAGUUUAAGCAAUUUUCAAAACUUUGUAACUCAAUUGUUUAUUAACCAAAUUCGACCCAUAAUAUAUCAAAAUGAAGAUAGGAAAGUGUAGAACAAUAUUAUACCUAUUUGGAAGGUCAAUGGUUGAGUGCGGUGGACGGAAAAUAGUUUGGAAUGUGACUGGUCCAAGGGAAAACUGGAAAACUCGCCGGAAACUGGGUAAAUUUUAAACGUUCAUAACUUCUUCAAUAAUCAACGAAAUCGAGUGAUUCAAAAACAAAAAUCAUACUUCUCAAUGAGAAGAAGAGAAUUGUACUUUUCUUGAUGGCUAAUUCUCCGUGGUUUGGCCGGAAAAUGGCUCGAAAGUGGCUAACUCAAGACCAAGAUAGCUACUUUCGAGCCAUUUUCCGGCCAAAACACAGCAAGUUAGCCAUCAAGAAAGGUACCAUUCUCUUCAUAUCAUCGAGAAGUAUGAUUUUCAUUUUUGAAUCACUCAAUUUGGUUGAGUAUUGAAGAAGUUAUGAACGUUUAAAUUUUAUCCAGUUUUUGGCGAGUUUUUCAGUUUUCCCGCGAACUAGUCAACUUUCAGGCUAUUUUUCAGCCACCGCCGACAAGCAUUGGCCUUCCAAAUAGGUAUAAUCUUGUUCUACAAUUUCCUAUCUUCAUUUUGAUAUAUUAUGGGUCGAAUUUGGUUAAGAAACAAUUGAGUUACGAAGCUUUGAAAUUUGCCCAAACUUUUGGCUAAGAGCUCCGAACACUUAACAGAGUAUUAACUGAAUGACCAAAAUAAUGGAUGAUGGACAAUCUCAGGGACCAUUUCUAUUGAUUUUCAAUCUUAGUGACCAAAAUGAUGUGUUAUACAAAUCUCAUAGACCAUAUUAGCUAAAAAGCCAUUCAUUUAUGUAAAAUGGUACUAUGUUGCAAUAUUAUUUUACUUUAGUAUUGUUAUAGGUCAACGAAAGAGUAAAAUUAUAUAUGUACAAGGCAGAGAGUUCAAAUCUAUAAGACAAUUGGAGGAGGGAGAGUUGGCGGUUCUUUUAUUAUUUUUAAGAAAAAAUGACGAAUUUUAAACUUCACUAAAGAAACAGUGUUGUUUUGCUAAAAUUAAAUACGUCUUUUUUCCCUCGGUCCUAAAUGAGAAUCGAGUGGUAGAGUUGCACCGGAAAGAUGUCGAUGCUUUUAGCUUUUGUUGAACUCGUUUUUUCACAAAAAAAAUGAUUCAAAAGAGAUAUUUUGAACGUAGUUUGGACAAAUUACUUAGAACUAAGUGUAUAUUUCUUGAACCCAAAAAAAAAAAUGAGAUGGGCACAUACCCCCCCCCCCGGGCGGCCCUUCAUCAAAUUCGAUCAAGUGUACCAUGAGUAUUUUUUCUCUUGUAUUUUGGCAAAAGAGAAUUGCAAAAUGACUUUUUUCAAAAGAAAUUCGAUGAAUUGGAAAUAUUGUCAUGCUGUUAUUAGAAUAUUUUGAUUGAGAGAGGAGUUGUAUACUGAAUAAUAUUUUGCUUUGAAACUUUCUUGACGAAUUCAAACUCACAAAUGUAUUUUUGAAAACACCGUUUAUGUUGCGUAUCUUUUAACUUAGUAACUAAAAGUACGGUACCUUCUUAUAUAAUGUCGGGGUUGCAUAAUAAUAAAUUAGUUUGUCAUCAAUGUAAUUUAAUACUUGUUACGUUUUAAAAAAAUAAAAAUAAAAACAGUUGGCUAGAAGUUCUUUAAUGAUUAAAGAAUAAAGGUUUUGUGAGGACCUUAUCGUAAAUUCAAUUCCACAAAAGCCGGCUUCAGCCCUUUCGAGUUAUAUAGGGUCCAUCCCACACCAAAGCUCUCUCUCACGGUAUCAAGAUUAAACCGGUUUUUUUUUUAAAUCCGGACCGCUUUCUUUACAGAAAAGUACGAACCGUAGCCCCUUUAUCUUUCAUCGUCAUCCCCUUUCGAUUCGAUCCCAGACAGAUCGAUCUAAAUUUCUUUCCCAGAUUUCCCUUAAUUUCUUAUCAUAAUCGUUGAAUCGGAUGUCCGUUUGUAUAAAUCCGAAUCUCCCCUAUCGAUUAAUCCCAAAUUCGACCAAAUCCUUUGGCCUCGUACAAUUCUAGGGUUUCGACUCUGAAUCGGCCCCUUUCGCCUCGUAAUAUUCCAAUCCAUCUCGUUUCUUCGAUCUAAUUUCUGUCUCCUUGCUUUGCCCUCUUGAAUUUGGUCCUAAUUUUGUAGAUUUUUUCGGCCGCGUCAAAUUUCUAGGGUUUCGUAGAGUUCAUCUCGUUAGGGUUUGUUCUUUGUGUAAAUUCUUGUAGGGGUUUUGUUCGCCUCACCUUUCUUUCGCUAUUUCGUAUGUUUUUUUGUCAAUAAUUUCACGAUUUCACUUGUCAAUUGCAAUUUCUAGGGUUAGGGUUUCUGAAAAAAUUCAGCUUCUUUAUUUGGUAAAAUUGGAUUAGGGUUACGGUUCAUAAGGCCGAUAAAUCCGUUUCUGUUCAUAACCAGCGUUCAAUUGUAUUACUUAAGCCGUCUGCUGUUCCUCUGAAGAAUUAAUAGAGGUACAAUUUUGUUGUUGUCAUUAUAAUCUUGUGAUGGGUUUUUGUUGUAAUUAUUGGAAGCUUUUUGCCCUAUCAGUUAUCAUUAUUAUUCUUAUGCUGACAAAUAAAUUUGAUAAGUGGAAACAGUAUUGAGAUUGAUAUUGAUAUUAUUCAAAAUAUUUUGUAACUUUUUGGUUAGCUUAAGUUGGAGUGCGUGGUCCGGUGAAAAUGGCUUAAGUGGUCUGUGUUCAAGUGAAGAUAUGUUGGUGUUCUGAUUAAGUGAAUGAGCAAUUGAAAGCAAGUUACGCGGGUUUUGGCGGAUUUAGAUUAGCAACGUUACAUGCCUGCAGUUCUUGUCUUGGAAAAUCUGUUAGGACAAACGUAGUAUUUUAUUCCUGCUAAAUGCAUAAGUAUUAUUGUUAUUGGUGUUGUCAUGCAUAUUUUCAAAUUUUUCAUAGAAAUUAAUUAUUUGGGCUUCAGGUUAAUAUGGGAUUCAAAAGGCCCUUUGAUGAUGUCGAGUUCCAGGAGCUUCCUUAUAAGCACUCAAGACAACAUGAAUUCGGUGAUAGGUGCUCACCAUUCUUUGAUGCUGUUUCUUGUUAUGGUGCUCCCCGAAAAACAUAUGUUUCAGGUAAUGUUGUUUUGGCGUUACAUUACUUUCAUGUUCCUUUUGUAGCUAAUAUAGCCUGCUUUUUAACUUACUGAACAUGGUUGCUUUGACUGAUUCAUGUUGAAGUCUAAUUUUAUUUUUAUUUUUUUCAUAAAACAGGUGAGAAUGGGAGUGGUGAUUGUAAGUCCCAGUGGCUUGAGGUUCUUGAAAAAUAUACUGUUGCUGAAGAUUCAACAGCUGCCAACAAGGGUUGUGUUCCCUUCUCAUUGGUUACCAGGAGUUAUGGUGAAGAAGAUGUGCGUUCUGGACCAGAUGCUUAUUCACCUUCUGCUGAGGAUUUCAAAUUUGACUUCCCAAGGAGAACAUGUGUUCCUUUCAAGGAUGCUUAUUCUUCUUUGUUUGACCUCUCUCCAAGGAAACAAGUUCCGGUUGGACCAGAUCAUCAGGCCAGGAUACCUUUAUGGAGUGGACGCAUGAAAUCGACGGAUCAGAAAGAUGAGAUUUAUAACAACAACAUUUCCUUGCAAUCUUUGGAAUCAGAAAAGACUGUGAACAAUGAUAGUGAGGAAAAGCUUUUAGGGACUUGUGUCAUUCCAAUGCCUGAGUCAAACCUCUCAGCACUUGAGUGUGAUAAGGUUGGAUUUGGUCGAACAGAUUGUAGCUGCCUGGACGCAGGUACAGUCAGGUGUGUGCGACAGCAUGUCAUGGAAGCACGGGAAGAACUUAGAAGAACUCUUGGAAAUGAAAAGUUUGUCAAGUUGGGGUUUUGUGAGAAGGGGGAGGAAGUGGCACGAAGAUGGAGUGAAGAAGAAGAGCAGGCCUAUCUUGAGGUUGUUUACUCUAAUCCUGCAUCAUUGGGGAGGAAGUUUUGGAAGCAGUUGUCUGCAGUGUUCCCUUCUCGUAGUAAAAGGGAACUGGUCAGCUAUUAUUUUAAUGUGUUUAUGCUUCGCAGGCGGGGCACUCAGAACAGAUCUAGUAUACUAGAAAUAGAUAGUGAUGAUGAUGAGUGGCAUGGAAACAAUGGAGAUUCCAAUGACGCACCAGAUGCUGAAGAUGAUGAAGACUCCGUUAUUGAGUCUCCUUAUUAUCAAGAUGAUCGUGUGGGCAAUGAAGAAGAUUACUCUGAAGAAGAUGAUAGUAGUGAUGGUGGCGACAGUGAUGGUGAUGUGGGGCAUGUUGAAGGAGAUUCUAGCAAAGCGGAUGGCAGGAUAGAUCAUGUAUCGCAAUCAUACAUGCUGAAGUCAGUUAAAGAAGGAAAGUUUGAUACACUUGGGGAUUGGGAAAAGAAUUCAGGGUGUACUGGAGACGAAUUUGAUUUCCAAGAUGACUCAUGUGUAUCUUUCGAAUUUCAGUCCAAUAUCCAUGAUUCUCGCAGCAAAUGCUUGGAUACCCAGCCUGAUGCAUCCAGUGAUGCAGCUGGUCAUGCAUAUUUAUUGGAGCCUUGCAACGCUAAAGUUUGGGAUGGAAGGUUCGGGGUGGACACCAUGAAAGGCGAUGAUCUACUGCCAACGUGGAGUAUGAUUGAAGACAUAUUUGAUCAAGGAAUGGCGGCGGAUUACAAGAUGACGGAUGAGCGCAAGGCACCAGCCGGUGGCUAGGUGGCUUACGAAAUAAUUCUUUUAACCCCAAUUAGUUGCUAAUAAAAAAUAUGAAAAGAAAUGUUGAGUGGUUAAACUCGUCAUCAAAUACAUUGUCUUUUUGUUUGUUCUCUUAUUCUUCUUCUUUUUCUUCUCCUCUUCAUCAUCAUCGUACAAAAGAAGUCGACCUUUCCCCUCGUCUUAUUCGAAAUUCCCAACUUUCUAAGCAAAUUUCCCAACUCUGCAUCAAACACCUGGCUUUGUGAUUAGAUGGGAAACGGAGUUGGAUUCUCUUCCUUCUUUCUUCUUUCUCCAAUCGCAAUUAUAUAGAAAGACAAAAUAAAAAAUGUGAUGGGAGAGGAGAAGGAAAAGAGAGUAGGACGGAAGAAAAUCAUACUCCGAUGAAAAACCCCCACCAUCAGGUGAUGAUUUUGGGCCCUUGGACGGGAUCUGACGGCCACAAAAAUUCGGCACAAAUGCCGACCUGCACCGAAGAAAGACCGCAGCUCCAUUACCUCUUUAUUUAUAGUCCCACAGCAGGCACCCUCAUGAGAAUUUUUAUCAAUACUUCCCCUUUUUGGAUGUCUCGGAACAAUGAUAUUCACACUUUCAUUUUAAUGAUAAUUCUCUCAUAUUAUGUAUUUUUGUGCAAAAAAUAUAAAAUCACAGAAAAUUCAUAAAAAGUCAUACUUUUAAAAAGGUCUUGUUGGCAUCUCGACAAACAUGAAUCGAGAGAUAAUAGAAAAUGGGAACAAGAUCUCCUCCGAAUCCAAAUAAACUGAGCCUAAGAAUCAAAGGAUCUGACCGUUGAAAUUUGAUCUAACGGCUACAAUUAUUAUAAUUUUUAAAGGGCUCUUUGUUUGUAGUUGUUAGAUCAAAUUUUAAAUGAUGAAUUCUUUACUCAGAAUGCUCAAUUUAUUUGGGUCCAGAGAAAAUCCGGUUCCUAGAAAAUGUAUUUGUUGCGGCAGCCGACUAAGCACUCUGCUCAGAAUAUAUAAUGAGGGAGGACUGACAUGCACACUGCAAUUGCGACUCAUAUCUUCAAAGUCAAUGCUUUCAAAUAUGGGUUGUUGAAUUCUUUAACUUUUUUGUGUUGGCCAGGUGGUACUCUUCAGCUGGAUUGGCAAAUUUUGGUCAACCACUAGAUAAUUUAUCAAACAACUAUAAAAUUUAGAACUUAUAUUUACGUUAGGGUGAAUUGUCAAUUUAGUCCAUGAAUUAUCAUUUCAGUGAAAAUUAGAUCCUAAAAUAUGUUUUUUAGAAAAAUUGGUCCUUGAAUUAUAAAAAUCCGCCAAUUACAUCUCUAAUAUUAUAUUCGAAGCUAAUAUAUUCAAUUUUCUGUCAAUUUAAGUUACGUUACUUGCAUAUGAUACACAUUAGAGGGUAGAUUGGUAGUUUUCCAUAAAGAAAUAGUGUAUGGAGUUAACUUUGGAGGGUAAAUUGGUAGUUUUACAUAAGAAAUCGUUUAAGUUAACUUUGGAGGGUAAAUUAGAUGUUAGAUUCGUAACCUAUAUGAAAUGUGAAGGGCUUAUAAGCGAGAAAAUGACGGUAUUACACUCUAAAGUGUGUCAAAUGACUUAAGUUGAAGAAAAACUGGAUAAAAUAGCUUUGAAUAUAAUAGUAUGGAUGAAAUUAGCAAUUUUUAAUGAAUUUAAAGACUUAUUUUACCGAAAAAUAAAUUUAUGGACCUAAUUUUCACUGAUGUAAUAGUUUAGGGACUAAAUCGGCAUUUCACCCUUUAGGUUAAGCUGCCAAACGCAGGUCGGAGUUAAAUUAAUUGAUUAAAACAGUGUCUGUCUAUUAAAAUUUUGAUUUAUGUUAAUAGACACAAAUAAAAUAAAUUAGGAGAUGCAAUCGAGCAGAUAAGUUUGUUUUUCGUCUUUUAUUUUCUCUUUGGCCAAUAGUAUUUGUUAUCCAAACUCAUAAAAGUUUUAAACAAAAAAUAAGACCCACAAAAGAAUAAUGCAUGAUAUGGAAGAUGCCAAGCAGGAAAUUUAAAAAAAAAUAAACAUCUGAAAUGGAUAUAUCACAAUCAGAUCCCUACAAGAUGGGUGAUUGACUUAAUCAAGGGAACUGGUAAUUACUAAGCAAAUAUGCCUUUCUAUGAAUUGAAUAGUGUGGAAUUUAGUAUGUGUUUAGAAGUGUUUUUAAAAUGAUUAAAAAUGUUUUUGUUGAAAAUGUUUUAAAAAUUAAUCUUUAGUAAAAAUCAAAUGGGUUUUGGAAAGACAGUUAAAGUGUUUCGUGUAAGAAAUACAUAUUUGGUGCUUCUUCUAAAAAACACUUAAAAGUGAUUUUGAAACUCAAAAUCAAUUUUCCUAAAAACUCUUUUAGUCAUUUUAAAAGCACUUCUAAACGGCAAUUUGUUUUGGUGUUUGAAGAAUUGGGAACAACAUGUGUCAUCUUAGUCAGCAUCCAACUUCAAGAUUAGUUUGAUGAUUUCAAUCUCAACCGUUGGAUCAAGUAUAAAACUUGAAUUACACGGUGAAAAAGUUGUUAAAUUCAAGUAUGAAAAUGUGGACUAACAACAAAGAAACAAGGUAUAUGAAAGUGUGGAUAAGACUACAAAACACCAGUCAUAUACUACUAUAGUGGGAAAGGGAUUGAAAACAAAGAAAAUUCAUCAAAUGUUGACACGCCCCUCACCUAUGCAAAUACAUUUCCUUUUCGGAUUGUGCUGGACGCAAUCACUCAUACCGGCUCGUAUGGGCUCGCACUUGCACCAAUGGCUGAGCAUCACCUGUGCGUGAGUAGAAGACUGUCUCGAGCACUCCUCCGACUAUAUGACUAGACUACAGGAAGCUUAUAAAACAAUAAAGAUCCGACCUUUGGAUUGUGCUUCUCUACAAUUACAAGCAAAGACAAGGUUAAGGCAUAGUUUGGACUAGGAGGAUCCUCGUCGGAUUCUUUUUGUGAGGAUCUUGAGAAUCCUCUAAUCAUAUUCAUUUAUUGUAUAUCGUGCGACUAAUUUUUAUCAAAUUCUGUUUAUAUUUAAUUUUAAAUAAAAAAAUUUACAAUAAUUAUCCUCCACCCUAAUUUCGACGAUGAUGUUUCAGUUUUAUUUUAGACUAACUAGUAGUAUUACUCCUCAAACCUUGGGAUCCUCAAAACACACCCAUCAAUCCUGGCCGUCCAAUUGAACAGCGAAUACGUCUCACUUGACUACACGUGCUGCCAAUCUUCUACUCCCGUUUUAUCUUUUGCUUCCAUGCAUGGAAUUCUCCUCCGACUAUAACACAAGUUAGAGAGAGAGAGUUUGGAGAGAGAAAGUGAGAGAGAAGAAUCUCUGAAUCAGUCAUGGCUUAGCUUUUUGAUUGUUUUUUACAGGCCUCUUCAUCGCCAUCAUUAGCGUGAAGAAACCCAUUUCUUCAAAAUUUAAUCUUUUCGAUUUAAUCCUAAUUUUUGUUUUCAACAUUGAAGAAAGGGAUUGUGGGUUAUACUUUGAAAUGGAAUUUAAAGGGUUACUUUUUGUUGGGUCGGAUCUCGUACUUCACAAAACCGUCACAUCUCAGCACUUCGAUUCUCCCAUCUGUUCAUCAUCUGCAAUAAAGCUACAAACUUUGUGAUCUGUGUCUUCAGUUGCUCGCUCGAUCUGAGAGAGAUUGUGCCUCUGUUUCUAUCUGCUAUUUGGGUAUUUUUUUGCUGGAAUCAGGGAACCGAAUAAUGCUGCAUUCUAGCUACUUUGUUCGAGGUAAGUUUUGCUGAUUUUACUUUGUUACUGCUGCCCAUCUUUUGGUUUGAACUAUUGAAUGAUGAAAAAAAAUCCAACCAUGGAAGAAGAAGAUCAGAACGAUCAGAACCAGAAAAAGAAAUUUGUCUGCAGGUUUUGCAGCAAAAGAUUCCGUUGUGGGAAGUCAUUGGGUGGUCACAUAAGAACCCAUCUGAAGAUUCUGAACAAAAAACCAGUUAUUGAAAAAGAAGAAGAGGAAGAAGACGAUGAAAUUAUAGCCAAAGCUGCUGCUAGGAUUGUAAAGUUUUCACCUUUUGAUGGUGGGAAUUCUGGGUACUCUCUCAGAGAAAAUCCCAAGAAAACAUGGAGGUUUUCGGAUGCGGGCCCUACUUUCCAAUUGCAGCAGGAGAAAGUGUGCAAAGAAUGCGGCAAAGGGUUUCAGUCACUGAAAGCUCUGUGUGGUCACAUGGCUUGUCACUCGGAGAAGGAGAAGCUGAUGAACAAGUUUGAAGAAAUCUCAGAGUUCAGUGAGAAACAGAAGCUGCUUGAUGUAAUGGACAGUCAGUCGGAUACUGAGACAUCGGCUCCUCCGAGGCAGAGAAGGAUUUCCAAAAGAUUGAAGCAGCAGAAUCUGGAUGUUUACUCUUCUGUGGCAAAUGGUGGUUCUUCGUCUGGUGGUUCCGGAAUUGAGCAAGAACAGCAAGAGGUUGCUCUUAGUUUGAUGAUGCUAUCACGCGAUUCGGGUGGUAAAGGGGGUUUGAAUUCGUUUGCUGAAUCUUCAGACAACAACUCUGUGAUUUUGGAGGCCAAAUCUUCGUCUAUCGAUAUGAGGAUUAAUACUAAGGAAGGUCUGAACUGUGCCUAUAAAGUGAGUGAUGUUAUGGGGAUGAAGAGAGUUAGAGAGAAAAAGUUGAAGUCCGAGGAGAUUGAGGUUUCUGACAAUUCUGAUUCUGGGUAUUUUAGACAUGAGCAACCUAAGAAAGUUGAUUCGGAUGUUUCGGUUGAUGGGUUUUUUAGGAAUGGUGAAUUUCACAAGGGUAGAGCAGAAUUUGGAUCCAGAAUUGAGGGAUAUGAGUCCUAUGAUGUGAAAUUAAGGAAGGGUUUUCGUGUCGAAUCUGAAUUAGGGAAGGAUGUGUCAAAUGCAGAAGCUCGUAGUCCUGAUCAAGUGCAUAGAGAUAGAGGGACUUUGAAGUAUGCACUGAGAAAGACAACCAAGAAUACAACUUUUCACAGACCAAUUGUCGAUGAUUCGUCCAAUGUCGAACCCUGCAGAAAUGCGCGAAAGAGCGGAAAAUACGAGUGCUUGACAUGUAACAAAACGUUCCAUUCUCAUAGGGCUCUUGGGGGGCACAGAGCAAGUCACACCAAGACCAAUGCCUACUCUGAGUCCAUUUAUGAGAGUGGGGAAAACAGCGUAGACACUGAUCCCUCCCCAGUUCUGACACCCGAAAGCAGCAAGCUUGCUGAUCAGCAUUGCAGUGGGAAAAAACCAAUGAAUGAUCAGGACUUCAGUGGCAGUGCAAAGAGAAGUUCAGAGACCAAGAAAAGCAAGGGGCAUGAGUGUCCAUUCUGCUUCAAGGUUUUCAAGUCAGGCCAAGCUUUGGGAGGUCACAAAAGGUCACAUUUUGUUGGAGGAUGUGAAGUCAAAACUGUGGUACUUGGGCAACAAGAACCCGAUCAACCCCCUCCUCAUGAGGCUGAAAUCACAGCACGAUUUGAUCUCAAUCUUCCAGCUCCAAUGGAGGAUGAAGCAAAUGACCAUUUUGGGUACAUGGCAUGGUAGAUUGGAAGACAGGGUUUUUCAAGUAUGGACCGAAACACAGUAUGCAACAGAAUCCUUGAACGUUGAAUCCUUAACUGCACUUCCAGCCGUUCAUUCACCUAGUUGAUUUUAGAAUUUUCGUGGAAGGAAGAAGCAUCAAAAGCAUGAAACUUUUUAGGUGGGUCUCUUUAUCUGUUACUGUAGUGACGCAAAUGAAGGCAAAGUACAGGCAAUGUGCUGAAUUUUUUGUUUCUCUUUGGGUCCCAUCAGUUCAAAGGAAUGCCUUGCAGAGGUAAUGGUUGCAUUUUUAGUUUCAGACUUGGAAGAAUUAAGUAAUUCUUGCAAAUUUUCCAUCUUUUAGUUUUUGGCUUGUUCUGAUUUCAUCAUCCUUCUCAUUUGUAGUGCACUGUUUUGGAAUUUUAAAUUAUUAUAUAUUCUUCUACAAUGUUUUGGAUAAAACACAAGUUAAGAGUAAUGCUGGAUUGACAUUUUUAGACUAAAUUUAUAAAUCAUAUAAUGUGUCAUCAAUAAUAAAUCAAUAUGUUAAUAAUCUAGUCCCUGAUUAAUUGAGAGGACAUCAAAUCUUCUGCAUCCAAAAGCCUAUGUGACUUCUCUGUGACCUAUUUCUUUUGUUGACAUUAAACCGUUUAUUUAAACUAUACUUAUCUGUGUUAACUUUUCAAUUUUUCUUCCUAAUAAAAAAUCAAAAACUAAAGAUAAAUUAAAUCAAACGAACAUAUGUCACUUAGUAGAUAAGACAGAAAAAUUACAGAGAAUUUUGAGUACAGAAGAUUUCAACUCUUCCGAGAGAGUCUAGGACGACCCAAAGAAAUACUCUGGCCCAUGAUGGUUCGCAGCACCAAAAACGGAACCUAAUAGCUAAGUCAUGGGGUCCUAGGUGAUGGAAAGUGACACUUCAUCAGAUAUGGUUUUCAUAAAUAAGGUAAUUUUCAAGAGCACAUACUCUCUUUCCUCUUUUACUUGUAACUUUAAAUGGAAAAGUUUAAAGACCAAGGGAAAUUGGAAUUCACACUAGUUUAAUUUUUCGCUGAACCGUAAAUAAAAAAAUUUACAUUUAUACACUUCUUUGGAUUUUCGAACGACAUCUGUAGUUAAUAAAAUAAUGGUAUGUGUUUUAACUUUUUUAAUUAAUAUCAUAAUAAUAUUGAUACGAGACGUCAUGUAAAUCUCAUUUAGACUAACCCUAAAAGAUUACAGAGACAAAUUGAAAGGAUUUCUCACCUUACAUAACCAACUCCACUUGUAAUUGUGACCAUUCAGAACUUGAGAUUGAUUUCCUAUUAAGCACCAUAUUCAGUGUUGAAAACUGUUUUAUCCAAAAGUUUCUUCAAGGACCACCUGCUUUAUGAGGAAAUGUUACAAAGUGGUGCCACUUAAAAUGUUGGAAGAGAAGUUUCCUCCAUAAUUUACAUCCCUAAAUCACUCACACCGUAUUUUCACAUUCAGAUAUGCAUUUGCAUUUCUGUAAAAUUAUGAUUACAUAGAAGAAAGUUUCAAGCUACUCUUCCUUGUAGAGUCUUCUUUCAAUGUGAUAAAAAAUGGCGACCUUAAGCCAAUAAGGCUCUCCGUUUUGUGGCGGUUGGUGGGAAGGAGGGGGGGGGGAGUUUGUGGCUAUUGUACGCAGCCUUAUCCUUACUUUGCAAAUAUGUUGUUUCCAUGACUCGAAUCCGUGACAUCUUGGUCACAAAGGAACACCCUUCAGUUUUAUAAAAUAAGAAACAAAAUUGUUUCACAUUACAACUUGUAAAUUAGGGGAUCCUAAAAUAGUAAAAGCUUCUGCAAAUAGAAUUUGGGGUUGUUGGAGAUAUGGAUAUAUCUUAAGCAUCAAGGUUGAAAUAUUGGAUUAAAGAAAAAUAAUUAGUUUGUGGAAUCAUGAGGAAUCAAAGUCCAUUGUGCACUUUUCAUCAAUGGGGAAGAAAUUUUGGUUCAAGGUGGUUGCAUAGCACCUACCACUAAGCAUUUGAGUUUGUUUUAAUUCAUAUGUGUUAGUGAAAUUUUGGUCAAAAAGGGUCAUAUCCGUUUGGAAGAAUCAUUGUUUGAUAUUGGCAUAUAGUCACAUGAUAUGGUUGAUUUUCGUUGAAUUCAUUGAACUGUUAUUGGCAUUCUAAAAAUCUAAUUAUGCAAUAUGCACUCUCAUAAUAAUGUUUUUCUUUCUAAAUCUAGAGUGCACAAUUAGAUUUUUUGAGUGCCAAUAAUAAUUUCCUAAAUUUAUGCUUUUGAAUAUUCUAUUAAUACUCAAUUCACGUGUUAUAAGUUAUAGCCGGUGUUUAAAAUAUUUACAAAAUUAUUGAUAUUUCUGUAUAAAUAUCCGAAAAAUCAAGGAUCGAUAUAGAAAUGGGCGAUGAAAUGCAAACUUCACCUAUGAUAUUACCGAUUCACUAUAGAAAAUUUGCCAUAACCAAUUGCAGGUUUCGAACUUUGGAUUUUUUUUGAGAAAUUUUUCUCUAAUUACCACUAAUCUAAAUGAGUUGAUAUAUUCAUCCCAAAAUUUUCAUAAUUUCUAUCGAAAUCAACCAAUAUUGAUAUUUUCACUUGUAUCGAUAUUUUAAACAUUAAUUAUAACAUAUGAAUAAAUUAAUUAUACUACAUGACAGAAUCGAAGUACUACUUAUUUACCUUAUUCUUCACAAAGCACACACAGGUUGUUUUGUGCAUUCUUUUCCAACUAAUAUGUUCCUUCCAUCAUCUGAGUGUAGUGUGUGUUCUGUAGAUGACCUCAGCCCUCAGCCCUCAAGACCACCUUUUUCUUAUGGGGAAAUAAAAGCUCGAGUCAGCGCAUUGCGUUCGCAUCAACUCGAAUCAAGAAGCACUUGAGAGGAGUAUCAAUUGCUUUAUGUAAAUAGAAUUAUGAACUCAUAUGGAAACACCAAAUCUUUCAAAACCAAACAUUCAUUAUUGCACACUCUAACUCUUUAGGCAACUUGGAUUGGCUUGUCACUAUAUCAUAUCACAAACCUCUGUCACUUUUGAGUAGAUAUUUUAGUACUCGUUUUAUCUUCUGUUAAUCCAAAUCGAGUAACUUGUAAUUUUUAUAGAAUCCACAAUACUAGUGAUACAAACGUGAGCUAGGUGAAUUGGUCGUUACAAUAUGCUUACCUACUGAGCUCUCAUCCAAAUUUGAAUCUCCUCCCCUAAAAUAAGAGUAUGAAUAUACGAGAAGCUAAAUUAUUUUGGAAUACCCGGCCAACUUGGAAAGACUUACUAUACAAAUUACCAGGCCCAUUGUUUUUCUGAACCUGCUGGCAAUAAGUACCCAUUAAUUAAAUCAAUGUAUAAGUGUAACCAUAUUAUGGCAUGAAACCUUAUUUGUUUGGUGUGAUAGAGUAGUUGACUCAUUUAUUCCGAUGGAGAAAUGUUUAUAUGAAAUGGAAGAAUUAGGAGUGGGGUUGGUCAUGACUAUUUUUUCCAUUUUUAUCUCUGCAUAGAAGAUGGAAAUGUAUUACCUAACAUGAACAAUUGAGGGUGGCUAGGGUUCCUUGUGUUUCUGAUUUUUAUUUGUUUUUGGGUGGACAUCUUUAUCAUGCCUUUUCUGAUACUACAAUGUGGAUGAUUUUCAUAUAUUAAAAAGUCUCUUCCACUUUCCUAUCAAAUCUCUCUUUAUUCUAGCACAUAAAUGAAGGAUCAAAGAGAUUAUGGUAGAUCGCAUUCACCAAGAAAUGACCUUAAUCGAAAAUCGGAUCGGCAACAAAUAACAUGCUUUAUCUGGAUUCAACUCGUACUCAUAGUUAAGCAGCAACAUGAAUAUGAGACUAAAGUCCCUCUAUGCAUCCUACUACUUGCAGCCCCUUCUUAAAAGAGAUUUGAGCAGCCGUCUGAAAAGACUAAUGCUGCUCAAAAGAAUAUGUUUAAAAAGAAUAAAAAUCACAAAGUGAGUGCAGCAGGAUCUGGAAAACAUAGAGUGCUCCUGCAAUCGAAUGAACGUUUAGGCGCGGAACUGUGCUCAAAAACCCCAAUUAGAGAGUAAUUUUGUUUAUAAGCUGGACCAGAGCAAAUCAUAACAAUUUUUCUGAAUUCCCGACUCCUUUUACACUCGAGUUCGAACCAUCUUCUAUAGUAGAUGGGCUUAUGUUCAUGCAACAUUGUAGAUUACAAAGUAACAAAGCCCAGCCACAAGAAAGGCCAACAUGGCUCAGUUAAUUGAAGAAGAUAAUUUGAUUUGUUGUGUCACUCUCAAAUCUCUCAAUCAGUUGCUUUGAUGGAGAUCGGCUACGAUUUGUAGAUUGAUUGGGAUGUUACACGUAACUGAAAUCACAGUAACAAUAUGGACAUACGGUCUGCCACUUGUUGUCCAGUUUCGAGAGGAAACAAAAUUAGAAUGCAAACAAGACGAUAUCUCAAAACUAAUCACAUAUUAAAAUCUCAAAAUACGUGACAUUGCAUUAAUCAUCCAAGAUGCCAUGAAUGCCUAGGCGUACAAACGCGGAUGCCACAAGAUUCGACAGUUCCACCACUCUAUAUAACUUUAAACAGCGGCUACGGUUAGAAUGAGGAUUUGAUGGGAAGCUAAUGCGCACAUUGAGAACGUGAGGUUUUAUUAUAUGGCAAUUAUAUGGUCACGUGAUGUUAUUAAUUUACAUAAAAUAAACGUUAUGUAUAUAUACAAGCCUUUUUAUGUAGAAAGAUUUUUCAAUGUGACCGUCACACGGGAUGGUACACCUCGUGUUAUUACAUAAAUAAUGGGGUAUGUUUGUCAAAAAGAUAACAACUUAAAAAAUAUAAUUUUCCACUACUUACAUAAAAACACAUUGUGUACCAUCCAUGUUCCUGUCACAAUUAAAAAUUUAUCCUUUAUGUAAAGGGAUCCCCAUUUUUUCAAAAAAUGAGGAUUAAGUGUGGGGCUCCCUCCACAUCGAACUUCAACGAUCCGAAUCGUCUAUUUUGUAAGUCUCUAUUUAUAUAUCAUCCUUACAAAAAUUCAAUUCAAUCCGAAACCAUUUGUCUAUUUAAUUAUCAAGAUAAAAUUUUAUUGUUUCUUAUAUAACAAAGUAUUCGUUAAUUUAUUUGGACCCAAUUAGAUGUCUUAAACAUUUUCGAUUAGCUAAUAUUUUGCAAUGAUGAUCUAUGCGAUGCAACUUGAAAAAUAGACGAUUCAGAUCAUUAAAGUUCGAUGUAGUGUGGACCCCACAACUAAUCCCUAUUUUUAUAAAAAAAUGAGAACCCCUUCUUUUAAAGAUUUCCUAUAUAUAUACACACACACAUAUUCCAUGCCACCGACGAUCAAGGAGACAGGAGACUGGAAAUUUCCUGGCCUGUGAUCAUAUCCCCUCCCGCACAUAGCGGCAGGUUUAGCCCAUCUUUUGGACCACCUCAAUUUCUAUGUUACCACUUUACGCUGCUCAUUCACUCAUCACCGACUCAGAGCCUCAGAGAGCUGCUCAAUACGGCACGCGCGCGUCCUCUGCUAUCUGCUCUGCUGACAUUGAAGAACCUGUAGUCACCACGCCACUUGUUCAGGCAUGAAUGUUGAAAGCCUUCAUUUUAAUCAUGCAACUCCACACGCUCUUUGGGAGUUGGAAUUGGAAUUGUUAAUGUAUGCAUGCACACAGGGAAUUUAUCAAAAUUAACCACAUCUUUAUAAUUUCUAAAACAUGGACCAAAAUAUAUACCAUCUAGUUCUAAUCGAUUGGAUUUUUAUGUUUCAGUUAUACUCCGUUGCAGUUAGCCGCACUUGCAAACACAAUAACGACGAUAUCAACUAUAACGGGAUUAAUCCGCAACCUAACGUAAGAUAACUUCUUUAUACGUUCUAGGGUUUUUAAAGGGAAAUUAUGUUCAACAGAAAGCAACUGCCAUCACCAAACAAAAAGAGGGGGCCACUGGUCACUGCAUUACUUGAUUAGUAGUUAAUUAACAAGUGUACGUUCCUCUCUGAAUCUCAAACCGAAUUUGUAAAACUGCUAUGCAUGAAAAAGCUAGGCAGGGAGGUAUACAUAAAUUAAUCAUGUCCAGCUUUAGAAUAUUAGGCGGCAAUUAAUUAACAAUUCGGGUAAAUGGCGCAUGGGUAAGGGAAUUGGCACUUUAACACCAGUCGGCCGGUUAGGAAGCUUUACGUACGUAAUUGCCGGAAAAAGACGAAACAAAGGUGAAAAGGAAGAGUGAAAAAAGCAAUGUCGGCCAAGCAACGCGUACGCAAACUCAGCCGACAACUAUACAACUAGGGUAAUUCACAUAUCUCCUGCAAAAACAAUAUGUUUCAAGGAUCAUACAAAUUUAGUUUGGCGAUUAAUUCUGGGUUUUUAAGCUGACGAUUACUUUACAAAACCUACCAAAAUGAUUACAAUACGAUCGAUGCAUGGUACAUACACACACGUAUAUAUAUUAUUUGUUAAAUAAAUGCUUUAUUCAUAUUAUGAAAUAAUACUAAAACGAUACUAUGUCUGAAAAAAUAUCAUGUGAUAUAAAACAAAAAGUGUAGUCUUCAAAAGUUGUCUGAAUGAAUAGGAAACUUUAACGAAAAACACCCGGUACUGUUCACUUGAACGAAAAACCACAUUUUUACACUAAAAAAUCAAUCCUGGUACUAUUCACUUUACUCUUUAUUGUCCUUAUCAUUAAAACUCAAAGUUUUCAAGCCCUUUUCAUUAGUUUUCCUGAAUAUGGUAAUCAAAUCUCAGUUUUGAGUUAAUCAAAUUUCGCAAUUAACGUUGCGAAUAAAUAUAUGAUAUUCUUGGGAUAAUUUGUUCAACCUCUCCAUAAAUGGGGGUAAGGCUAGCCGACAUUCACCUCUCCCAGACUCUGCGUAAAGCGGGAGCCUUGUGCACCGGGUAUGACCUUUUUUAUAUAUAUACCAAAAAUGAAAGAUUCUGUUCAUGAGGUAUAAUCCAUUAAUUUACAUACAAAGCUCAAUAUAUACUAGCUAGAUCAGAAGCUGAAGAUAAUGCAGCUGCUAAGCCUACCCGCAUGCAUGGCCUGUAGAGACGACGUAGGCCAAGCUAAUUUAACAAUAUUGAUCCUACGGCCCUACCUACACAACAAAGAUUUAGGUUAGUUAAGUACGUAUUAUCUGCUAAACCAUGAUUAACAUCACUGAAAAUGAAAUUUGCGUUUCUCAUGGAUUAUUCCACACUACAGGGUUUUGCGUUUUUUACUGCAGCCAUUAAGAAUGAGAACGUACGGCAUCAAUUUGUAUGCGUUUCUUCUUUUGUAAGCUUUUUCCCUUUUACUUUUUAAAAUGUUUUGGUCAAUCCCAAAAUUCUCAAUUGACGCAUAUUUUGAUCUAUAUAUAUAUAUGAAUGCACGAGUCUUAGUGCAUACCACCUCCUGAGAGUAAUAUAACCACCCCAUUUGUUAACCAAGUCAAGUUUUGGAAGCUCAAAAAAAAAAAAAAAAAAAAAAAAAAAGAAGUUUUCAAUUUUAGUUGGUUUGCUACCACCCUUGGGGAGUGGGGUGCCUUACUAACCUGAGUAGCAUAGGACAUGUUUAAUGCAACCUCGCACCCCGCCUUUACCCACCCAACUCAAGCUUUGCCAGUACCAAUCACUUUAAUGUGCUGCAUAGUUACAAAUCUAUGUUACCAGGCUCAAUAGUAGUUUUCAAUUUUUGAAAAACCAAAAAUAGUUGCUAACAAGUUUUUAGUUUAAAAAAUAAAAAUAAAAAUAAAAACUGAAUUGAAUUGGUUAUCAAACAACCUUUUAUUUUCAGUUUUCAAACUCUUAUUAGUACACACCAAAAAUUAACCAUUUAAGUUUUUUUUUUUUUUUAAAUCCCCGAAUGUAUGAAAACUCAAAAAAUAGCUUUCAAUUUUUUUUUUAAACUGAAAACAUUUACCAAAUAAGUUUAUAGUUUUUAUAAACUAAAAUUAAAAAUAAAAUGAUUAUUAAAUGGUCAGUUAAAUUUUAAACUCACAUAACAAAAAAUGUUGAGUUUCGCCCCACAAGAUUGUAAUAACGUCGGAGGUUUCCGAGAGUAUAACAGUUAUAACAUUUGCAUGAUCAGAUAUGUAUUGCAACUAUGGAGAUGAAAAUAAUCAAUCCAAACGCCCUUUAAGGGAAAAAAAUUGAAUUAUCAUGUCAUAGAGCUUCCUUUAAUUUGUUUUAGCUGAAUGAGGAGACAGCUGAAAAGAAGAUAUGUAGGCAUAAUAAUUAAAGUUGGCAUGCUUCUAAUCAAAAGAUAAGAUAUAGUCAACAACCUAGCAACCUAGCACUAGAUCCCAAGCGUAGCAGAUAAGUUUGUAGCCAAUGAGAACUACAUGAUGUUGAUGGUGGUGCAUAAAAAGCCACAAGCACACAAUUAAAUACACAAAACUAUGAACAAGGAUCCUCUCCAGAUCUUCUUUGUGAGGAUCCAAGUCACGCCCAUUCAAUUAUACUGAAAAAUCUCUCAAGAAUAUAACCACUCAAUUAUACUUCACCCUUUUGUUAUUUAAUGAAAAAGGGAAACACCUCUACAUUAAAUCUACAGAUUUCAGAAUUAAAAAGCGGAUUUGGAUUCUAUUCGGAUUCAAGUUGUGGGAAUCCUAGGGAUCCUUGCAUUCUAAUCGUUUAUCGUACAUCGUACAGUCAGAAAUUAUUUUAAAUUUAUUUAUUUAAAAUUAAACACAAAUAAUACCUAACGAAAUGUACUAUGAGCGGCCAUGAUAUGAGGAUCCCUAAGAUCCUCACAAAGAGGAUCCGGAGAAGAUCCUCAUCCUUAAAAAGCUACAUUCUUCCAUUCAAGCAGCGCCUAAAGUAACAUGCAUCUCCAGAAAUCAAAAUUACUAUAAUAUGAAGUUGCUAUAAUUCAUCAUCAUCCUUUUUAACUUUUAGGGUGUUCAAACCAACAGUAGUAUUGCCUAUAUUCUGGUGAUUAAUAUGUAUCUGCAAGUGUUCAAGCUAGGUGAUUGUUAAGAAGGAAGUACAGACGUCAUGAACUUUUAUCGUAAGAGCAACUUUUACGAGUACACUGCUCCUAUAACGUGUUAUGUCAUGAAAGUAAUUCUCCUUAGGCAUUAUAAAUUAGAAAGAUCUUUAUAUGCAUUCAACAGUUAAAUAAUUCAAGUAAAAUAUUAAUGUGUAUUGUUACCAUUUUAUCCGUGUCCUCAUCAAUUUCGCAUCCCAGGAGGUACAACGUCUCCAAGAAGCCCUUCGUCUGUAGGAAGAGGUGGGGUUGGCUGACGGUCAGUGGAGUGGGAUGAUCCUCCUGCAGCUUGAUCAUCGUCAUGACGUGGGACUACUACUUGGUGCGACGAGGUUGGGGUCAAAUUAAUAGGACUAGUUAUCUCUCUCGGUCGAAUUGUUGGAUAAUACAUGAACUGUGAGGCUGGAGGCAGCUGAGACAACUGGUGGCCUGUAAAGCCAGAUUCAUGACCCAUGACUCCCCCACGAGGGAAUGCAACUGUAUGAUGACAGUGUUGGCCUUCAUAUGUGGUAAUUACAGUUGUGGGAUCUUGAGAGGAACGCUCAACUCUUUUCUUCACUGUGCAUUUGGUAUUUGUGCAGCGAUAAUAGCUCCUGCAAAUUAAACAAAAGAUUGAGUGUAAGAAUGUGCAUAUAAAAACUACAAGGCAUGCAUGUACAUACAUUUACUGUUCGAAUAUUCUUUUGUUUCAAUAAUUCAAUUUGAAGUUGUUUGAGCCCAUCUUUGUAAAUUUUGUCAGCUAGAAGAAAUUAGUUGUUUAAUAUUCAAGUAUUCUCUGUUGGUAGAUAAUGGCAUGGCACGCUCACAAAUUAUACAAUCUCUAGACGUAUUCCUGAGGCUUAGAAACUUAGGGUAAACAUAAAUAAAGUUAUCAGUUGUAAGAAAUUAAGAAAAAUGUUUCCAUGUUUAUAGAUGACAAGGAUUUAACAAUCUCAAAAUGAAAUAUAUAGCGGGUACCAUAAGAAAAUUGUUGUUUAAUCAAAUCAACCGACAUUUUUAGUUUGAAUUCAGCACUGAAAAGAAUAUCAAGUUCCUCGCCAGCUAAUUUAGUGGAGAUAGUAAUUUGGUGACAGACCUUGGAAGCCAAGCUUGCCUAGCAGCUGCACGUAGUAUCUUCAGCUUAACUAGUGUGUGUGUGUGUAUUAAGCUUUGUAUGUAAAUGGUGCAUACCUCAUGAAUCAGAUUCUACAUGAGGUCUAACAUCCUAGUGGAUGGAGUGUUGGGUGUCUAUUUAUGCGAUGAGAGUUCGAAAUUUCUUCCUCCCUAAACUAAUGAAAUAGUUUCGAACCUUUCCCAAAUAACAAUAAAAUAAAAAAAUUUAAACAAAAGUUAAAGACCUUGGAAAGGGGCUAUUUUUAACAGCCUUCUGACCAUAUUUCCGCCAACGGUAGCCAUCCUCAAGAUUAUCAACUUCACUCUUUGUCAUGAAUGCGAAUCGUGGCUGCCGGAUUCUCUUCGGCCCCUUCAUUUUAACCUUACUCCUACAAAAUAUUUUACCUACAAUUAUCACAACAAAAACAAUAGCUUGAAAAAUCCAAAGAAAAAUGGCAAAACAUAAGUGAAUUUUAUUUCCUAUAUAUUGGAAAUUAAACGGAAAUGUUAUAUAAAGUACUACUACAUAUUCGUGCAUGUUUAGUUUCUAAUUAAUGUGAUCCAACUAAAACUAACACCAAUGAAAGAGUGGUGCUCUAUUAAUUAAAUUUCAAUUACCACUGAAAACUAAUACAUUCAUCAGAAAAUUAAAAGGGAAAUGUGGUGUAUUAUGUGUAUAUAUAUCAUGCAUUAUGUUUUACGUUAAUUAAAUCUAAAAUGCAAGUGUAUUUGUAGCUGUUAAAUACUAGAGUUUUUGGAAAUACAACCAUAUAUUUAUUUUAACAAUUACUGAUGGCAAAUUUGAUAUCAAAUUAGGUUACUCAUUGUGUAGCUUAGCUUAACUCUCCAUCUUCUCUUGUGUAAAAAUAUAUUGAUGUUCUAAAAAAACAAUUAGUGCACAUCAGGUGGGAUUGCAGAGUAUAGGACCAAACCUUAAAUUGUCAGGGAAUAAACCAGUAAUUCUUAUCAAAAUUACAUUAAAUCUCAAAUUCCAAACAGUACUUUACAUGCAUUAGCAAAUGGUUCAACAUGGUCAGCGACUAUAAGUGAGAUGGUGUAUGUAAUUUUGAAAUUUUCAGUGUGUCAAGAACACGGUCAAGUCAUAAUACCAGUAGUUGAAUUUUUUUUUUUCAAGUAUUCAAUCACUUGUAUCGUUCAACCACCUGUAUUGUAAUACUUGAUGUAACAACCCAUAUUCCCGGCACAUUGAAAAAUCUCUCCGUGUAAUUAUAAACCCCCAUUAUUAGGAAGAAAUCCAAAAAUAUGGACCACAAAUUAAAGAAGAAUCCAGAAUUAUCAUCACCCAACCCCCUCUUUAUUAUGGUAAUGCAACUUAAGAGACAAAUAUGUCACAUGCAUCGAUCACUUACUCACGAAAAUGCUACUGCACUAGACGCAAUAAUAACGAAACGAAUCAAUAUUAAAAUAUUAAAAAACCCUACAACAAAUAAAGAAAGCAUAAAAUUACAUUAUUGUUCCUCAUUAAACCCAAAUCAUUUACAAACAAUCAUAUAAUAAAAACUCGCUUUACUUGCACCAUAUUCUCCCUCUUUUUUCCCCGCACGCGUUUACCUAAAAGUGUGAAUUUUAGCACGCCAUCCGGCCGCUGUUACGGCGGUGUUCGCGUCCAUAAAAUUAGAAACCUGAAAAGCCCUUCCAUCUCGGUUAAAUUUGCUUUGCCACGCCCUAAAUCUCUGUGGAUUUACGAAAAUGCCACCCCAACUUGCAUGAAGUGGAGCUUCUUCUAGUUUCUUACUUUCUACAGCGUACGGACGCACACCCCAAUUGCAGAUUUUGCACUCCCUUUUUGAUAUUUUUCAUUUUUCACCGUUUAACUAUUUAUUUUGUUAAAAGAUCCCCUACCACAGUAUUAGCCCACGAAAAAGCAAGUUAAUCACGCAUUAAGCCAUCAUUAAUAAAUAAUACUCAAUCAUGGAAACCCAACUCACGGUAUCUCGGACGGUGGUUUGCCACCGGAGCCUGUAGACCUCUCAGGCGGAUCCUCGCUGGAGCUCGUUGACACUGACGGAUUGGUCGAAGCGGAUCCGACAACAGGGGCCGGGUCGGGGCUCCCAAAGGCGGCGCUGCUACUGCUGCUGUUGUUAUCCAAAACAAGAGGACCACUACUAGUAGUUCCCGCCAAAUCGGACGUGUCGGCGGCGGCGGCGAUGGGGUCGAGGCAGGGGAAGCCGUCAUCGGGUUUGGAGGCUUCCGGGUUGAAAAUCCAGCCGAAGUCGCUGAGUAUGUUGUUGUCUCUGUCGUGGGUAUUGAAGAAGUAGGCGCUGUCCGAGUCGGGAGUCCAGGUGUGAGUCGUGAACUCGGUCGUGGUUAGUGGAUCGCGUUUUUGGUUGUUGUCGUCCAUGAGAAUCGAUCAGGACGAUCCGCCGUGGAGUGGUGGAUUGUAAUCGGCCGUGAGAAUUGAGCAUGAAUUUGAAGGAUGAGGGAGAGAGAGAGAGAGAGAAAAAAAAGAGAUAAAAUUAGGGUUUUGGUGAGUGAGUGUUGGGAAGGACGCGUAGUUUUUGAACUUUAUGAGGAAGGGAUGGAAAGCUUAGUCUCGUCAAUGCACAGUUGCAAUAUUUGGAGAGAGAGAUAGAGAGAGAGGGAGGGAGGGAGGUGGAAAGAAUUGGAAAAAAGGAAUCAAAUGGAGGAAGAGAGAAGGUAGGGAGAGAAGAGAGAAAAGAUAAGUUAGAAAAAUCGCCGUCAACCUUGCAAAUAUAGUACUGGAGGCUCAGAUUUAAGCAAAGCCAAGGAGAGACCGGGGCAAAUGGCCCCCCACGCGUUUAUACAUAAGAAAAGAGCCUAUUUUGCAUUUCAGCUGGCUAAGAGUCUUCAUUCUUGUAUUCAUUUGAAUUUCUCUCCAAACAUUGCUUGUAUCUAAACAAUGAAGACAAUUAAUACUCAUGUCUACUUAUUCGGUGCACUUCAUUGUCCACUCAAUUGUAAGUAAUAUACUUUUAUCGUACAAAUAUCUUAAGGAGAACCAUUUAUUUUUUUAAUAAUAAUUUAAAUAUCAUCUUUUGCUAAAAACCAAUAAAAAAAACUAUCUAACCAUCCUCGUGUAUCCAACGGUUUUGAUGCUUCAACCUUAUUACUACAUAUGAGUGACAAAAAAAAUCGCCGGUUCAUUUGAUAUUUGGCAUACGAACUUUAAAUAGUUAUUCGAGAAUAAAUAGUUUUGACUACAAGAUUUUUCCAAUAAAAAUAUGUUAAUUACAAUUAGAUGUAUUUUUCCGUGAAAAGUAGUACUAGGUAGAUCAAAUUUUUAAAUCAAAUUUGUACACUAUGUGAUGUGUUUAAAGUAAGAAACAAACAUGUUAAUUAACACUUAAGUACUAAUCUAACCAUAAACACGUCAUAUGAUUUACAAAAUUUAAUCUAAAUAGUUGAUUUCUCUAGCAUUACCCUUAUGUUAAUUACAGUGAGAUGUACUUUUCUUCAAUUUCUUUAUAUUCAUGUCUUUUGGCUACGGAAUUAAUGCAUCAUGUAUAUAUAUAUAUUAUUGCAUGGGUCAGAUGUUUAUUGAGUAACUUAAUUGAAGAAUAGUAGCAUGGUACUUUGUGAAUGCCACCCUUUAUGCGUGUGUGUGUGUGUAUUGAAGAUAUAAUCAUGUGGCCGGUUCAUGUGGUGGUGAAGGAUUUUCGUCAUUAUAUUCAUCAUUUUAUUUUCAAGUUUAUUGUAGAAUCCCAAACUCGAUUUUUUUAUUUCAAUAUAUGUGUUUAAUUAACGAUGUUGAUUACAUGUACGACUGUUGCAAUGACUUAGACAAUUCUCCAAUGCUCAACAUUCAUGGCUUUAGUUAACCAUGUUGCUUGAGUUGUAACAUCAUGUUCAUACCAAUAAUUGUGAGAACAUUAACACGUGUAACAUAUAAAAAAAUCCAUCUAUGGUACGAUUAAGUUUGAAUUCGUUUUGUUUUCUCUUCUUUGUGGCUUUUUUCUAGGGAGUUUUAACGAAAAAUCCGCGGUACUGUUCAUUUUAACGAAAAACCACAUUUUACAUUAAAAAGUUAAUUUUGGUAUUAUUCACUUUACUCUUUAUUUUGUCCUUAUCUUUAAAACGCAAAGUUUUCAAACUCUUUUCAUGAAUUUUCCUUUUUUUCUAUGAUACUUAUAGUUAAUUCUUAGAGAAAUUUUAGGAGAUGGAUAUGUUGCACUACUUCUUUUACACACGUUUUUGUGGGGCUCUUUGUAAUAUGUAUUUCAACGAUCUGAAUCGUCUAUCUUUUAGGUCUUCCUACAAAGUUCAUGUCUACCAAAAAUUACUCAAAUCUAAAACCAAAUGACGUUGGAUUAAGGGUUUAGAGUUUCUUUGUAGAACUGUAUUCAUCCAUUUUCUUCAUUACAAAUGAAUGUAUUAAUUAUUCUAGAUUUGUCUAAUUUUGCAAUGAUAAUCUAUGAAUGAUGUUCUGAAAGGUAGAUGGUCUGAAUUAUUAACAUAUAUUACGGAAUGGGCCUAACAAAAAUGUGUGUAAAAAAUUAUGUAAAAAAACGGUGUCAUGAAUCCACGUUUAGUUCUAUAUUUGUUCAUAGAGAACAAGUUUUCUUUUCUCACGAAUCUCACCAAUGUUUGUCGUGUAAAUGUUAUAUCUAGAUAUGAAGAGAACUCUUUGUUAACCAAAGAGAAAUAAACAACCAUUUGACAACGAUAAACUAACUAUUAUGUCAUUAUUACUCUAAAUCAAUUUAUAUAUAAUUUGAUUUACCCACCUUCCUCUAUCCAACACCCCUAACUUCUCUCUCAAGCUCUCCAUAGUCGCUUGCGGUAACUAACUCACAUUCAUAGCGUAAUUUUUCUCCUUAGUAAAGUUCGUCAUAAUCAAUCUAUGCAUCACGUGGGUAAAUGCUAGAUACACAUGACUAGAUUAGAGCGAUGAAGUAUUGCUAUCAACUUUCAUGAACCGUAGUUAAUUAAAAUUAAAGUCAAUGAAUCAAAUCAGAAGGUGUUGAAAUCAAACGAGUAUGGUUCAGUUGUCAAAUUAAGUUUCAACAAACAAUGUAUCCAUUUGACCAAAAAAUAAAUAAACAAACCAGCAAUGUAUGCCUACAGGCUACAGCAAUGUAUCCAUUUGACCAAAAAAUAAAUAAACAAACCAGCAAUGUAUGCCUACAGGCUACAGGUGAUAAGGGGAUGAACACUUAACCAAGUUCAUCAUCCCCGUUUACCUUGAUUUCUUUGUCGUGUCCUUUUCUUUUUACAAAUAAUAAAUCAAAUAUAUUUAUCUUGGAGGAUAUUAUUUUCCUCAAAAAAAAAAAAAAAAAAAAAUCUUGGAGGAUAUUAUUUUAUUAACCAAAUUAAAUAGGGAACUUUAACGAAAUCUAUUCACUUUAAUGAAAAACCACAUUUUUAUAUUAAAACGUCAAUUCUGCUAUUUUUUAUUUUAUUUUGUUUUUAUCGUUAAAACUCAAAAUUUCCAAACUAUUUUCAUUAGUUUUCAUAAUUAAAUACUACACUUCCUCAAUUGGUCAAGGCUUUUGAGAGGGAGGAAGGGAGAGAGAGAGGGAGAGAGAGAGAGAGAGAGAGAGAGAGAGAGAGACUGAUAUCCAAAUCUUUUUAAUUGAUAUAAAAACUAUUUGAGCCUCGUGCAAGCAAGCAAGCACGUCGUUUCAACCGAUUUUUACAAAAUAAAAAAUAAUAGACCAUGUAUUGUUAAAGGGAUUUGAAUCAUCUCCUCAGCUUCGAGGUUAAGUCUUAUGAGCAAAGCACAUGAAUUGUUAAAUUUUGAUUAAACGGUCACAAAUAUGAGAUUUUUUAAAAAUUAUAAUAUUUGUAUCUAUUUGAUCAAAAUUCAACAAUUCGUGUGCUUUACUUAUGAGGCUCAGCCUCCUAAGCACCGAAGAUGAUGCAAAUCCUUGUUAAAGAGCAACCAUUGUAAAAAAAAAUUUGGUCAAAUAUAAAGAACUGCUAACUUUGAAAAUCUUUGUGGAUAGUAUAUUUCGGAACACUAUAAUUUUUUUAUUUUUUAAGCAAUCGAUGAUCUGUAAGACCUACGUAGAAGUGUGAGAAGGACUUAAUUACAUAAAAUAAACUUACUGUCGCAUGACGUUCAAUUUAUGUAAGUUGCUCUGUCAAGAUACGAUAUAAAUUAAUAUACUAUGUAUUUUGUUAGAUGGGUGUGUGGAGACUGGGUAACCCAGGGACCCACAUGUCAUUUCACAGGAUUUUAUAGAGAUACGUUGGGGUAAUUGGAUCGAUUGUUACAAGAUAUAAGUUGAAAUGGAAAUGGAAAUUUAAAAAGAAAAAUUUUCCAUUCUGAGUGAAUAUUUCUGAUUCCAAAAAUUUGGAUGACACUUGAAAUGUACCUAACUAAUCCCAUUUGUCUUACUUAGUACUAUAAAAUAUCAUACAUAUCUUUAUUUUAUCAUGUUUAUUAUUAUAUUUAGAAAUGUUUUAUUUUGUAUUUUGUAUAUUUAAUCAUACUAUUGUAGGACUCCAUAUAAUCGCCUGCCCUAAAACAUUAGGGUCCCUCCUAGAAGUGGGUGACUCAAAAAUUGUGUUUUUUACACAUUCCACCGGGUAGAGUCAAUUAGUAAGUGUUUAAUUUGUCAUUAAUGAAUAUUUGGUGUAGUAAUAUUAAGCCUUUAUCUUGUUGGCGUUACACUAUUUAUAAGUUUGUGCUCUUAGAUAUGAUUUUUAUGGAUAAUGAGUUCGAUACCAAAUUAUUAAGACUAAUUAUCGUAUGUUUAUCCGAAAUCCUUUGGUAUUUAAUAUAAAUAUGUAGUUAUUUUGUGAAAUUUAACUUGAAAAGUUACCUCAAAAUGUAUGGAAAUUGGAAAGUAUAUGUGCAUUAUUAUGAUUUCAUGGUUGAAUUAAAGUCUAACCUCGGAAUCCAAAAUUUGUAAUGUCAUCAUCAGAGUAGUUGCGGUUUCCUCCUCAGCAUACAGUUGAGAACAGUGAGGAGCCUCUCCCCGUCCCUUGUUCUGGAUCCACUGGUUAUCUUAUUUGAUUAUUAUUACAAAUCUCAUAUCAAUUAUUAUCUUGCUAAAAUAAUAUUAAUUCUUUUAUGUAUUAAUUAAAUACAAUAAGAGAUCAAUAUCUUGCAAAUUAAUCUUUGAAUUAUUGGUUCUCUAUGAUGUCUAUACUAGCAUAUAUACAGGGCAGGAUGGGUCCAAGCUAACAAUAUCUCCGGCACAACCGGUGAAGAAAGCUUCUUUCUCAAAUGAACUCCCAAAAAAAAAAAAAAAAAAAAACAUGAAUUCUUAUGUAUUUUGAUCUCAUCCGAUUUCAUGCAAACUUUCAUCCAACUAAGAGCUGCUUUAGUGCCAACUUGCCAUAUCGAUGAUUUACUCCUAACCCAUGAUCCAGAAAGCUAUUCUAUUUGAAUGCGUUUGCACAGUGCACUUGAUUGCGCUGCAUUAUGUUGAACUUUAAAGAAGAAAAAAAAAAAACGAGAGUGACUCACUAAAAGCGUAAAACAUGAAUUCUUCAACAGUUCAGGAUUACCUCCAGCCUUUAGAUAAAGUAAUAGUACAAAUUCAGAAUUCACCAAACAAAAUACCAAAAUCCAGCUCGAUCUACAUAAACAUCACAUGGCAUAUAGAAACAAGCAAUUAUAUAUAUCACGUUCCUUGGAUUUGGAACUUUGUCUUGAUGUAGUUUAAUCAUUGUCAUGCAUGACUCAGACAAACCUACGCGAAUAAGGCGCUUUAUACAUUAAUUUGCAUGCCAGUAUAUCGUGUAUAAAUGAUAUAAUAUGUAUUCUACUGUUCUAAACAGUUUAGAUUAAACAUUAAAAAAUUUACACAGAUGGAUCAGAUAAUUUAUAGGUGCACCAUAAUUAGCAUAAUUACUAGCAUAAUCUUCUUAUUAUAAUAGUAUGGAAUGUAAAUGUACAAGGUACCAAUCAAAUCUUUGUGGGAUUAAUGUGGUAAAUCAUGAUUCAUGAGGCCCAAUAUGCUCAUUUUCAUAAUCUCCAAAGAUCUGCAUCUGUAUUCUCUGCAGAAGCCACUAGCACUGCCCAAAUUAAUGCGAUAAAGAACAAGUUUUUCUCUUCUUUUUUUAUUUAUUAUUAUUUUCAAACAAAAAACGAUUUGGGUUCCGACUAAAUAGAAAUAUAACUUUAGGAACUUCGGCCAAGCACAUCCUGUUCAUAUUGGUUUUAAUUUUAUUAUUUUUGUUUAUGUUGGUGAUCGUUGUUAAUUAUGUAGCAAUUAUAUGAUGAAGACUCAAAUUUUUGUGAUCAAUAUUGCAAGGGGCCACUUUCCUUGAGUUUUAUUUUUUAUUUUUUCUACUUUUGGUUUACCCUCGCUCUCAAGAAAUGUAUAUUGACAGGGGAGGUAUAUUAUGGUAACCCCUAUCCUAAUAUAAUGGAACGCAUAAAUGCAUACAUAAUUCCAUAUAUUUUAUAGAUCAAAUGUAGGCAAUUUCAUGUAGUUGGCAGUUGGCACGUAAAAAAAAGAUCCAACUCACUUUCAUGAUAUUUAACUCCAUCGAUUGACAUGGAAAAUAAUUGUAUAAACUUUAUAUUUUAGGGCUAGUUAUGUUAUAAUACAACAACAAAGUUUUAUCUCAUUAAGUCGGGUCGACUAUAGUGGUGGAUCAAAGAUUUGAAUUUUGGGUGAUCUUGCUCUUAUAGGUCUAAGAUUUUUAGACAGAAACAGAGAGGAAAACAAGCAAAAAAUUUCAAUUUAUUAAUUGAGAUAUUUCGUCGAAUACUUGGUGGGCUUGUUGUUAUUUGACGCGCACAUGUCAACAUAUAUUGAGACAAUCUGUCGAGUGCUAUCAGCACAACAGGUCUCUGUCAAGAUAUAUUAGUAAACAUUACAUAUAACACUUGGUGAGAACAAAAAGGAUCCGUACCAAAUAUUCGGAAGGUCAUCAGAAGACCUUCACAUAUAUAUUUCCCGGAUUCCGGGUGGUUCUAGGACCACCUUGGUCCUAAUGUACAUCUGCCUCUUGUCAGCUAUAUGAAUUCUAGAACGCCACUGCGCUCGAUUUUGCGUCGUGUCUUCUGUUAGAUAAAAGUACUUCAUAUCUUUUCUUAAAGUCUCUUUCCAAAUCUUUCUAAGUCUUCCUCUAUUCCUUUUGUUCUAAACCUCUACUCUAAUAAAAAAGAAAAAGAUGCUAAGAAUUAUCCACAGCCAACACAGAAAAAUUAUUACAAGCAUAAAUAUUACAACAAAAAAGUAGGUCAGGGCAUCAUCCCAAUAACCAGAAGCAUUGAACCCUAGAUGUGUUAUGUCAUCAUAAGUUUCCAUUGUUAGUAAAUUAUAAUCAUUACACUCACUAUAUAGUGGAGGCAAAUAUGCCAUGAUUCUAGCUUGAGCAACCAUUUUGUACAGUUCCCUUAGCAAAACCCUAGCACUGAAAGGGACAUACACAACCAUUUGGACCAAAAGAUAUAAGUUCUGCAGAAUCUUAACUGCUCACACAAAUAUAUGCAUGUCGGAAGUGAAAUAUACCAAAUAAUAUGUAUAUGCAUGAACCAAAUUGCUAGCUAGCUUUCAUGCACAAAUAAUUGUUGGAGAUCGAGUGUUCCUCUUUAACUUUAGCUUUAUAUAUAUCGUACAGAAUCAUUUUUUAUCAAGUGGUGCUGCUUUAAAAUGCAAAUAACUUUGUUUCUGUGCUGUAAUCUAUGAAAUUAAGGAUGGACCACGCACUAGAGUUCUAUGGCCCUUUUCCUUUCUAUCUUCCUCCCAAGGUAUAAGUUACAAUUGGCAUUACUAUAUAUAGUAAAGAGCCUGCCUGAUUAACCACUUCAAUCACAUCAUAAGUUUAAGAAACCCAGACACGGAAAACAAAAAUGUUAAAACUUUGUAUAAAAUAUAUCCUAAUUUAACAGAGAUUUCUUACAGAAUGACUAAAAUUAUUGACGGUGGUCAAACUCAUAAAUCACUUCUAUCGAUUUUAAAUCUCAUAGAUCAAAAUGAAGAGUUAUACAAAUCUCAUAUACCAUUUUGGAUAGAAAAAGACCUAAAAUAUAAUAUAUUUAAAUGUAUAUACAGAUAUACUACAUAUUGUUUCUCAUUCUGCUUGAUAAACAGAAGCUUGCAACUGUAUCAGUGGCUUGAAAAGUCGGACACUUCAUGAUGUAGCUAGCUCGCUUGGGCAAAACAAACACAUUUGUGAACUAUAAAGCUAGGGCAUGCAAGUCCCACUAGAACUAUAAUGCUCAAUUAAGCUUUUAAGUCAUGUCUAUGAGUCUGUUUUUCUCCCGAUAUGCAUCUACAAUUUCUGCUUACGGUUUGUGGAGUAUUUUUUUAACCAUGUACAAGAGCAUGAUAUGAUUAAGAAUUUUAUGGUUUAUUUCUUUAGACUCUUUGACCAAAUAAAUAACGAAAAUAUGCAUCCACAUGCGCUUGAGCACUGUAAAUUUUUUAAAUUUGUUUAAAUGGAGAUGAACCAUAUUGAUUUUACAAACUACUAAGGGCGGAUGUAUAUUGGGAUCCAGGUGUUCUCAUAAUCGCUAGGAGACCGGGAAACAAGCACCUGAAGGUCAUCUAGGAACCUUCAGAAUAUUUGAUAUGGGUCUCCUUUGUACCCACCAAGUGUUUGAUGUAAUAUUUGAUAGGUAUAUCUCAACAACACUCGACAAGUUGCAUAGGCAACACUCGACAAAUGCUCUUGAUAGCACUCAUUAGAUUGCUUUGGCAAAUGUCGAGUUGACAUAUGCGCAACAUGGUUCGCAUGACGACAACAAGCCCACUUAGUGUUCGAUGAAAUAUCUUUAUUAAUAAAUUGAAAUUUGUUUGCACGCUAUGUUUCUAUCUACAAACUUAGAUCUUUGACAUUGAGACCUUUCAAAGUUCAAAUCCUAAAUCCACCACUGCAAACCAUAGCAGUAGGCCAGUAAUUAACCAUUGCAUUAUUAAAGUAGGAGUAAUACUAUAGUUUUUUCUCUGUUUAAAGGUGGUGUUGCUGGUCUAGGAACUCUAGGUGAUAGGUGAUUUUGUCAUUGUGUGAAACGGACAAAGAAAUCAAAGAUCGAAUGAGUUCCAAAACAACUUUUGUUAAGGGAAUCGUAUUCCAAUUGAGGCAUUUUUUUUAUAAUUAUAUUCUCUCAUAAUGUUAGGAUGCCAGUUCCAAAUUCAAAUCCACUUUAAAUGGUGAACACAUUUGUCUUUAGGAAUCUCAGAGAACUUCGAUGGGGAUCCUCCGAAUAACUUUCACAAAAAUAUGGUUAAUGGAGAAAAUGGCAUGCUAACUUUUGAGUUUUGAACUUUAGUUGAAUAUAGUAAGCUAAUUAUUAACUCGGGAAAAUCAAAUCAAUUUAUUGGUAAAAGAGUUCCUUUAGAAAGGCAAUUUGAAGAGCAUGAGAAAGAGAGGGAAUACCCUUUACAUUUAGUUGAAGGGAGAGGACACUAAACCAGGAUUCGGAAUAUUGUGCUUUGAGUUGGAUCAAAAGUGAUUGGGUUCCUCAAAAACGGCACUUGAUAGGGCCAUUAUACUUUUUUUUUAAGGAGCUAAUUAAAGUAUGGAGAAACACCAUCUACCUCAUGAAGAGCUAAUAUGCCUGCUUUAUGACAUGUUAGUUCUUCAUAAGAGAGCUCUACCUCAUAAAGUGCGUGGUUCGCCGAAAAUAGAGGUGAUUUUCGGCGUCAGGAUAAGGAGACAGAUGAUUAUGGCAAACCUGUAGAAACUCCAUUGAGAGAUAAUAUGCCUGCUUACGUUCAGUCUGUCAUAGUACUCAUAGGUAAUUUUCUUAGUAACAAUGAGCAUAUCACGAACACUUUAAGCAGUGGCGUAGCAUCCUUACGAAGCGCGAACGAUCCGAUAGAGAAAGAGGGUGUGAAUUCGGCAUGGUAUUUGAUAUUCAAUGCAAUGGACGAAGAAUCUGGAGCAUUUGUAGCCAAACUACCUGAAACAGUUGACCAAAUGUAACAAUUUCAUAGUUUCUCGUCAAUUAACAACUUCAUGAAGUUUAUAUAAAUGAAUGAAUAUUGAAAGUGCUUUAACAACAUAGAAAAAGUUGAAAUGCUUCUCGGUUAGCAAAAUACAUGGAAGAGAGAAUUUCAACUUGCUUCUGAGAAAACACUUUUGAGCUGAAGUGCUUUCCAGAGAAGCAUUUUCAAACGACCUAUGAUUGGUCUCCUAUAUUGAAAUUUCAACGACGGGGCAAUGAAAUCUUCAAAGUGAGACUGUGAUGAACCCCUUUGACUUAAAACUGAUAUGGCAAAGUAAAUUCCCACCUCAGCUGAGAUGGGUAGAGAGCGCUUAUGCAUUUGGCUAUGAAAGCAUCAAUCUUUUCACUUUGUGAAAAAAAAAAAAAAAAAAAAAAACCCACGUUGCAACCAAAAGUUUAUAUCAAAAGGAAACAAAUUUAACCAAGCCUUGUUGGGUUUGAGUGGCGACAUCUUUCCCAUCAGUCGUCACGUUCUUCACACGAAGCUGCCUCCUUGCUCGGCUGCCAGAACAAAAGGUUGUUAUAAAGAAGAGUCUUGAGUUUCUCCUUUUGUGGUUGGAGUCUGUGAAGCUUGAGACGAACUUUGACGGCUUUGCCGCCAUUGCUUUCUCAGUAUCCCUCUGAGAAAGCAGCAAGGAGAGAAUUAGUGAAAGAGAGAGUGUGUUACCUUUUGUCUGCUUAUCUUCCUCAUGUUUGAGAGGACGGAAAUGUUUUGAUUCGUCAUUUUCCAACGUCUCCACGAUUAAUCUUUUUUCAAUUAAUUGGCUAGUCCAACUAAAGAAAUUUUUUGUUCUUGCUCCAUGUUCUUUUGAUCCUAAAAAGUUUAGGUGGAGGGGAGGCUACCCCAUUCCAGAGUUCAAGCAUUUCACAAGUUUCCUUGAGGACUUGGAGAUCUUAGCCCUUCUUUUGGUUUUUACAUUGCCCAUCAAGAAGGAUUGUCAAUAGGUAGACUUGAACCUAGACUUUGAUCUAGUGAAAAAAAAACGAUCCUUACCAACUCAACCAACCAUCUUUCACUUAACUGGAAAUUUGGCACAAUUAUUUGCAUGAUGAUUGUUUCUGCAUUUCCUUGAAAUUUCUUGAAAUGUAUGUAAGAUUUUGAUCUCACUUUUAGCCAAGACAAGUGGGCCUUUCCAUUAUCCUAACAAGUUACCCUACCAUGCAAGCAACUACCACCUUCUUUUUUCUUUUCUUUAUUUUUUUAGAAAACUCAACUACCACCUUCUUUUGGUGACUCUUGCCCCUUCAAAUUGCAACUAGCCACUUUGAUUUUGUGGUGUUUUUGUUUGGCUGAGAAUUUGAUUUUUCCUUUACGCUAAUUCAAUUUUCAAAUCAUCCUUUUUAAGAGAUUAUGUUGUUGUUCAUCCAUUUCUGGCGAGAAAUUUUUUUUUAGUGUGACAGUCUUAUGUCGUUUGGUGUUACUAAUUCAGUAUUAUAUAUGGGUCAACAACAUUACAGAUAUUUCGUAAAAAUUAUGGUACAUUAUUUAUAAACAUAUUAUACAUGAAAAGAGCUAAAAACAUUAGAUGACAGUUUAACAAUCACACUGAAAAAGUAGUCACAACACAAAAGAUUGAUCCCUAAUAAUUUUAGAACAAACUAACUAUCAGGUAGUCUAACGAUAUUUCUCUUCAACAAACGAUAAAAGAAGUCUCAAUCUUCAAUUACUCUCACGAAAGAUUAAAACAAACAAAUUCUGGAAUGAAAUAAAGGUUUGGGCCACCCAAUCACUUCCUCUCAUUGAACCCAAAAUGAGGGACCCAAUUAAAGACCAUUCGAGAUUUUCCUUCGCUCAACAACAAAGCCCACCCAUUGCCAAUGGACCACAGUCCUCGGUGGCCAUCUGGUUCACCCACGUGGCAACACGUGGCGUGCAAAAAUAUUUUGACAAUAAUCUUUUAUUUAUCCAUAAAAAUAAGAUUAGAAAUAACCAAAAAAAAAAAAAAAAGUGAGAAAAAUUGAGGAGGGAAGAAGUUAAAAUCCUUCCCAACGGUCUCUCAAAGUUGGACCUUGGACUCGGAGGAUGUUAGAGCCGUCCAGUUCCUCUGCUUUUUCGCGGCGCCUUUCUCUGAUUUUUCUCACAACCACAGAGAAGGAAAAUAAAUACUUCUCCAUAGAAAACCCUUUGUUUCUCUCCAAUUUCUUCAGUAAUUCCUCUUCUUGUUUCAAGCACAAACCAAACCCAUAACCCAAAAACCGCGGCAGUUUGUGUAAGAAACACUGCCAAGUUUCGAUUUUUAUCGACAUUUCUCGGUACAUUUGUGGUUCUUGAUCAUAACCCAUGUGUAAUUUUCGGUCGACAAGUUUCAGUUUGAUCUUCUAUUGCUAAAUUCGUAAUCUUUUGCAGGCGUGACCACUUUGACAAUUAUUUGGUUUUUUGGCAAAAUGUUUGGGUUUAAGAAAUCGCCUGCAAAGAUUGGAAAGCAAGGUUCUGUAGACCCAGGUUUUCAAGCUGAUUCAGACGAGGGGAAGAACACGCUUAACCCCGCGAGAAGAACUUCUUCGGAACCUAUGCUUAUCACCCCGGAUUUCAGCAACGAAAAAAAACCAUUAGAGCAGCAGAGUAUGCAAGAGUUAGAGAAAUAUGCUGUUAACAAGUCCGAGGAGACAACAAAGAGUGUCAACAAUUGCCUCAGGAUUGCAGAGAACAUCAGAGGGGAUGCUACAAGGACCCUUGACAUGUUGCACCAGCAGGGUGAGCAAAUUACAAGGACUCACAUGGCGGCUGUUGAUAUCGAUAAGGAUUUGAGUCGGGUAAUCUCUCCUUCUUGUUAGGGUUUUGUAAUCUAGAUGAUUUUAGUUUUUCUUGUGACACAAGAAACUAUGAAACCCGAAGAGGAGCAGCAUUUUUUAUCGUAAAUACCUAAUGAUGCAUUCUGAAAACAGGGUGAGAAGAUUUUAAACAAUCUUGGAGGCAUGUUCUCAAUGCCUUGGAAGCCGAAGAAGACCAAGGAUAUUUCGGGACCCGAUCUGUCAUUAGGUUUGCUUCUGUUAUAAUCUGCUUGCUUCAUUUCUUGAUUCUUCAAAACCUCAUGAAGUUUUUUGUGUAUGGUGAUCAUGCUCAGCUUCUGCACCCAAAAAAGCUGACCCACAGCAGAGGGAAAAGUUGGGUUUAGGUCCGAAAGGGCGGUCAGCUCCUGCGACGCCUCCUCCAGAAGGCUCAGGUGCCAUGCAGAAAGUCGAGGUUAGUGUUUGCGAUUAAGAUUAUCAAGAAUGUGGCCACGUGCUCUCCCGAUUUUACUUAUUUUGGGAUUGGUUUGUGAAUAACAGUAUGAGAAGGCAAAGCAAGAUGAUGGACUUUCAGAUCUAAGUAACAUUUUGGGGGAUUUGAAGGGUAUGGCUAUGGACAUGGGAAAUGAACUCGACAGGUCAAUAUCUUUGUUCUUCGCUGUGAACUUUCUUCGUGAUUUGCAUCUAUAUCUCUGCAUUGUUGUUAAGUAAUUUGGAAAAAUGCAGGCAAAACAGAGCCAUCGAUAAUCUCUCUGACGAUAUUGACGAAGUUAACUCUCGAGUGAAAGGUGCCAAUCAACGUACACGCCGUUUGCUUGAGUGAAGGCCAACACUCUUAGAAAUACCGGCAAGCAGUCAACAGAAAAUUUGCAAUUUAUUUUUGAAUGUAUAUAACUGGUUCCCCCCUAUUUGGGAUAUACAUGCAAUAAAAUGAGCCUUUAUGUUCAAAUCUGUCAAAAACCAUGAGCCUAUAUAGUUUUGCAUUCCUAUUUUCUUCUCCUCUACUCUUUUUUUUUCGCAGUUUUUGGUUCGAACAAAUAAAAUAAGAUCCAGGGACGGGGCAGAAAUAAGGGGAUGAUGGCGGGAAGAGAACGGAAGUGAAAGUCACUACCGACACCAAAUGUGUGCAGAAAGUUUGAAUAUUUACAAGCACAGCAAUCUGCAGUUGUCGGAGCUCAGGUUUCCUCACUCUUCACAGGAGUCCAGUUACUUCCUGGAACGGCCUUUUUCCUGGAAUAUGAAAUGUAACCCACAACGUAUCCUAUAAAAACCCCAAGCACCAACACACUUGCUCCCUUCACAAACCAAGAGAAUGUAGACUCCCCACUGCUCCUAAUAACCCCAGCAUCACCACUGCUACCGAUAUUAACAGACUUGAUACCGCCUCCACCGGCUCCACUACCGCCGAGAACUUGGCCUGAAGCCAGAAUCUCCACCGUGUCGUGCACCUUCCCAUCAUGGUUUCCAACAUAAGUAAGUGUAAGCUUCUUCCUUGUGGCAACCAACCUAGUGUACCCAAAUUCACCACCGCGGUAUAAAGACCGCUCUGGCUGUGGGUACACUGGGUCAGUUGGAUGAUCUGGUCUAGGCUCCCAGAUCGGUUGCCAGUCUUGGCCACCCAUCCCAAUCACAACAUGAAUAGGUCCAACACUCCCACAAGUAUAGUUUACCAACUGACAAAACCUCUCGUAUCUGUGUACAUGUCCCCAUAGUGCAAGAUUUACAUUGUUCUUCACAAACAGAGGCUCCAAAUGCUCCAGCAUUUUCACCCUCAAAGGAGCAUCACCUCUCUCGUAGCUUGUUGUGUACAUUGGCCUAUGUCCUUGCACCACCACAAAUGGCGUCUUCCUCCUAUCCACCGCCUCCAAAUCCCGCUUAAUAAAUUCCAAUUGCUUGCUUCCUUCAACAAAAUUGGUCUCAGUUGAAAUGUACACAAAAUGUACCGACCCAACAUCAAACGAAUAGUAAAGAUUUCGUGUAGCUGGGGCACUUGUUCCAGUCGGUUCAGAUGAGUUUCCUGGCAUGUUGAACUUAAGACUGUAGGGCACCCCACAUUCUCCCCCACCAUCUGUCCCAUACAUUGUUGCCCACUCCGGUUUCCAUGGCUGCAACGGCCAAUCAUACUCGUGAUUUCCAAUACAAACAUGGUAUGGAAGCUUGGAUGCAAGGGGCUCAAUUUGGAUGAAGAAUUGAUCCCACAACCACGAGUACCCUCUCGCGUAGCUUAUGUCUCCGAUGUGGGACACAAAAGCGGGCUUUUCACCAAGAGCUUCAACAUCCCGGAGGAUCCAUUUCACAGUGGCUAUGCUCUCGUCUUGUGUCCGAAGAAACGUUGCAUAAGGUGUUGCAGUCCCCAUGUCACCAAACAUAAAGGCCGUAGUUUCGUCCGAGUCCUCGUUUCGUGCGACAAAGCUGUGCGUUUUGCUCCAUCCUUCAGAAUCACUUCCGACCUGAUCACAGAACACUUCCUGUCAGGUCCUCUUGAAAUGCUUGUUAGAAAGCACUUCUCUUCAGUUCAUGAGUGAUUUUACUAAAAGCACUUUUAUUAGAAGUACAUCGAAAGUUCGAAACUUUUAAUAGAAAUUAAAGUGCUUUCGGAACUGCCUCCUAAAAAAGCUACUCUGAAUACACUUCCAAGUUCCAAACAUUCGUAAUCAAACUUGUUAAGAAUUUAACUAGAACAGUAAAAUGUAAAUUUUACCUUGUAAUAAUAUCUGACGCCUUUUCCCAGUCGGGUCAUGACCGCAUCGUGGAUAAACCCGGGAUCUCUCCACCCGAUACUGUUGUUGGCGGGUGCAUCGCACAUGUGCUCCCUUUCAUACGUCCCCACACGUGCCACCACCACGUCAUCGAGCGAGUCCUCCCUCUGACCGUAUCGAACCUUUCUCUCCCCGCCGUCUGGGGUCACGAACAUGACCCGCAUCUCGUCAUCUCCGUCCGUGUAAGCGAGGUGGAUCUGAUCCGGAACACGACCCGAUUCGAAGCUAAGCUCGUCAUCUGAGGUGGCGAGCAGGUGGGCGGUGCCGGGGAGGGGGUUGUGGUCCUGGUCGACGUGGUUGGGGUCGACCUCGGACUCGUUCCAGCUGAAAAUCCGGAAGGAGUAGUUCAAUCGGAGAUUGACCAGAGGGAGGGAAAUGGAGCCGGACCCAGAUUUCCAUGUGGGGGCGGAGGAGAGGAACUUGUAUCCUAUAAAGUUGUCGUGGUGGGAGGAAGGGGGCGAGUAGAUGCCGAGCCAGUCGAGUCGGGAGGGCGAGUCGAUGCCGGACCAUUGGAUUAGGACGGAGUCGCCCGAUUUGGAGAGGGAGGUUGGGGAGAGAGAGAGUGAAACAGUUUGGUGGGUCGGAGGGAAGAAGGUGAAGAGGAGGAGGAUGAAAACGAAGGUUGUUGAAGGAACGGCCAUGGCGAUGGCGUAUGAGGUGACUGAUGAGCAAUGGGUUUGGAUUGGUAAAUAUCUAUCAAAAUAACAUUUAUUUAAUACUCAGGCAUAUUCCUAAUGGUUCUGCGGCAUCAAAAUCUAUUUAGUCACUGUUCAAUAUUAAUUAAUAUUAAUCAAUUAAUUAAUACUGCCAUUGUGUGUGUCAGAGCCAGCUCUGUGAGUAAAUUAUUAGUAGGUGAAUUAUUGUUUUUUCUUAAUUUUUUAAAUGUCCAACCACUUAGUACUACAACCUGGUAGUAUUCAUUUUUACUUGUAAGUAAGAGGUCUUAAAUUCAAUUCUUGCCAAAUACGAGUUUGAAUCACAUUAUUACUAGCUCAUUGUGAGGUUAAAUCUACCCCUUCUCCUUAGUGUAAAUAACAUCGUUCAUUCAAAAAAAAUAAAAUUACUUAAAGGUCCAAGGUUAAAAUUUUUAUUUUAGUUUUGUGGAAUUUUUUUAUUAGUUUGAAUCACACUAUUGUUAACUCACUAUAAGGCUAAGCCCCCCCUUUCCCUUUAGCGUAAAUAAUAUCGUUCGUUAAAAAAAAAAAUUACUUAAAGGUCCAGGGUUAAAAUUUUUAUUUUAGUUUUGUGGAAUUUUUAUAUUAUUUUGGUGAAAGUUAUGUAUUUAAUAAUAACAAAGUAAAACAUGAUGGAGGUAGAGCCUCAAACCCAUUCCCAAACGAUUACAGAGAAGCAUAAGCACCACUUGUGCUAACAGUUGAUUUUAUAAUUUUUUUCACAUAUAUUGGUAUAUAUACGUACAUUCAUGUAAAAUUGAAAAAUCGGGGCCCUAUGCAGUGGCACCACUUGCACAUCCUCAGGGCCGGCCCUAAUGUGUGUAUAAAAAAAAUUAAAAUGAAAAAUAUAUAUGGGAGAAAGGAGUUGGGGGGGGAAAUGUGAAGUAGAUAGAUCGUGAAUGUUAUAAAUAGGUUAAAAUUAGAGAAAUAACAUUUGCUAGGGACAAGAACGCGGAUGCAAAAUAUCAUACUGUUUAGUUUCGUAACUAUAACACAAAAUGAUUACAGGUAAAGAGAGGAAGGAGAUACUGAUAUAAUUGCUUUCACUUUUUUUCUUUACUGUGUAUUGUGAUUACACACGGAGUGCUCUUUAUAUAGCUACAUCCGUGAAGGUUUACAAAAAUGAAAUGAUUGUUUUUUGAAAAACCUCACAUAUCAACAACAACAACACAACUAUUCUCAAGUCUUCCUCACUAUUAGCUAAAAAGCAUGUGGGCAUACAUUUCCACAAUUUUUACAACAAUGAAAGAUUUUUUAAUUUAAUUUUUAAUUUUUGGGAAAUAUAGAUAGAGACAUGCAUUGAUGGUAUGUGGAUGAGAAAAUUAAAAAAAAUCUUUUUGUGUAAAAUUACUUUAAUAUCUAUGAAUUUUCUUUUCUAAUAUUUAUCUCAAUGCAAUAGGGUGUAAUAGUAUUUUUGUUUGGUUCUUCUUCUCUCUUGAUUUUGUGAAUUGGGGAUUUACAAAUUUGGUGUCUAUGAUUGUAAUUUCAUUCUGCUAUUCUGCAAGAUCUAAUGAUGCGAUAUCAAGUUUGAUUCUUUAAGUUUUUUUUUUUUUGGUUACAAAUGGUAAAAUUAUUACCAACCGAAAACUUAUAACACAAAGAGCCACACUAAAACAUAAAGAAAAAAGGGCCAAACAAACUAAAGGGCCAAACAAACUACACACCAAGGUCCAAACCAUAUACAUAACGCAAAAAUGGACCUUACAAACUACACACAAAGGGCCAAAACAAAGGCUAAAGCCCAAAAACAAAGACACACCGAAAGAGAACCCUAGCCUUCUGCUACAACCGCCUCUAAGCACCGCACAAACAACAAGAACCAUGUACACCAACUUACUCCAGAAUUCUGACCAAUCAACACCUCAGAGGCUAAAGCCCAAAAACAAAGACACACCGAAAGAGAACCCUAGCCUUCUGCUACAACCGCCUCUGCAGCACCACACGAACAGCAGGAACCAUGUACACCAACUUACUCCAAAAUUCCGACCAAUCAACACCUCAGAGAUGGGAGGAAGGAAGACCCCAUGAUCCAUCAAUGAAACCCUUUCCGACGGCAGCCACCAAGGAGAAGAAAACAAAGAGGCCUGUGAGAAUCCCACAAGCAACACUGCUAAUAAAGGCAGACCGAGAGAAUGAGCUGGUGUGGACACCUAAGUCGAUAUGCAAACCGGAGCUCGACACACCUUCUCGUUGUACCAUGAUAGAUCACGGUCAAAAGUAACUGCAUACCAAAUUUGGGUAUAAAUUGAUGAAGGAUGGAGCCAAAUCGAAAAUAAAGAAGAUCGGAUUUGUGGGGGAUGGAUGAAGGGUAGGAAGAUGGGGGGAUGGAUUGGAUGGAUAUGAGGAAUUAAUUGAGUAGGAAUAAUGGCAACAAGGACGCAUUAGGUCGCACUAACCAUGAUGAAUAGUAGGGGAAAAACAGUAACAGAAAAGAAGGGAGGGAAGAGCAAAAAGAAAAAGAAAAAGACUACCACCAACCCUAGCCAUAGCUAGCGUCGGCGCCCGAAUACAAAAACCAAUAACGGAAACCUCACAGGCAGUGAGAAAUACUUUCAGGGGAGAGAGUUAGGGGUGGUUUUG
rnacentral:lncRNA from 1 species